rnacentral:lncRNA from 1 species
UGGGUUGAGAUUUGGGCCAUUAGGCUGGUGUUGGGUUAUUGGAUAUUCAGGCUAGUGGGCUUAGGUAAACGGGGCUAAGUACAAUUGGGCCAUUUGGGUUUAAUAUUCUGGGACAAUAUAAAUGGACUAUGAACUUGGUUUUAUUUAUUUAUUUGGGUUUUAAUAUUUGGGCUCGGGUUGGGAAAAAUUUGGGUGUUACAGCUGCCCCUCUUUACUCGUUGUCGUACAACGGGAACGGAGGAAAGACUUUAGAAAUGACCAAUUUUGCCCGGUCGUGCUGGACCUUGGUGCACUUCUUCUUCACGUAGCCUCAUUCCAUCCUACUGCAUUUUCAGAGGUAUAGGAAUUGCCUCGAUCUACUCCACCGCAAUGUCGGAGAGAUAAGAUUUGUAACUCGUAACUUUAAUCCGUUUAACUGUGAUAUCGGGGAAACGAGAUUCGCUAUUAUAGCUUCAAUUUGUUCCACUACACUGCUAGGGAAGUGAGAUUUGCCGUUGUGGUUUUAAUCUUUUUAACUACAAUGUCAGGGAAGCGAGAUUCACCGAUGUGGCUUUAAUCUGUUCCACCGCACCGCCAAGGAAGUAAGAUUCGCUGUUGUAGCUUUAAUCAUUUUAACUGCAAUGUCGGGGAAGCAAGAUUCGUUGUUGUGGCUUUAAUCUAUUCCACUGCAUCGCGUGGGAAGUAAGAUUUGAAAUUCUUCGGUCUAUUCCCCUGUAAUCUCAGGGAGAUAAGACCUGAUGCGAUCUAUUCUACUGUAAUUUCAAAGAGAUAAGAUCCUUUAUUUUAAUCCGCUCCACUGUAAUCUCAAGGAAAUAGGAUUACUGGCUUCAAUCUGCUCCGCUGUAAUCUCAGGGAGAUAAGAUUUCUGGCUUCAAUUUGCUCCACUGUAACCUCAUGGAGAUGAGAUUUGAAAUUCUUCGGUCUAUUUGAAAUUCUUCGGUCUAUUCCCCUGUAAUCUCAAGGAGAUAAGGCCUGAUGCGAUCUACUCUACUGUAAUUUCAGAGAGAUAAUAUCCUUUAUUUUAAUCCGCUCCACUGUAAUCUCAGGGAAAUAGGAUUACUGGCUUCAAUCUGCUCCGCUAUAAUCUCAGGGGGAUAAAAUUUGAAAUUUUUCGGUCUAUUCCCCUGUAAUCUCAGGGAGAUAAGACCUGAUGCGAUCUACUCUACUGUAAUUUCAGAGAGAUAAGAUCCUUUAUUUUAAUCCGCUCCACUGUAAUCUCAGGGAAAUAGGAUUACUGGCUUCAAUCUACUCCGCUGUAAUCCCAGGGAGAUAAGAUUCUUUAUUUUACUCUGCUCCGCUGUAAUCUCGGAGAGAUAGGAUUACUAGCUUCAAUCUACUCCACUGUAAUCUCAGGGAGAUAAGAUCUGAAAUUCUUCGAUCUAUUCCACUGUAAUCUCAGGGUGAUAGGAUUAUCAGCUUCAAUCUGCUUUCUUACACUUGAAGAUAAGAUUCACCGUUUUCGAUCUGUUCCGCUACUGCUUAGGGAGACAAGAUUUGUAAUUUCCCAACCUAAUCCACUGCUGACUAGGGAUAUAGGACUUGUGGCUUAAAUCUGCUUCCUUACACUUGAAGAUAAUAUUUGCCGUCUUCGAUCUGCUCUGCUACUGCUUAGGGAGACAUGAUCUGUAAUUUCCCAACCUAUUCCACUGCUGGUCAGGGAGCUAGGACUUGUAAUCUUCAACCUAUUCCACUGCUGGUCAGGGAGCUAGGUUUUGUGAUUUCACCGAUCAGUUCUCUAGGGAACAUGACUUGUAUAAUUCAUUUAUGAACUUAAUUAUGCCUAGUGAUUAGGAUGUUAUGAUCAGAAUGAAUCAAAUGCUCCAAACUAGACAUGUGUGAAUGGUGUUUGCAUGAUGCAGAAUUUUAUUUUUCCGAUAAUGAUCCUGCUUUAGUUGUCAUUACUCGAAGUUUAUUAAGGCUUUGUCACUGAAGUGCUAUAACAUCUUCCUUCUCGACUGAUAUUUUCUGAAGAGACAUUUAGCCCGGUAACCCUCCACUAUGACUUCAAAGUUCAAUCCACUUGGACGCAAAAUCUGUGCCACUAUUCUCCCACUGUAAUCCAAGGGUAGAAAUAUGUGGCUUUUCCUCAAUCCUCUUUUAUCACAAUUCAAGGAUACAGUAUCUGAACCGUUCUGGUUUCUUACACCAUUCUCAGGGUGUCGUACCAAAGACUUAUGCGCAGAUGAAGGCUUUCUUCUCCGAGGUAACCUCUUCCUCUUGCCUGAUGAUUAUUGUUUGCCGGUUUAUUUAAGCUUUGUCAUUAACCCGUCGUCUUAUCAUUUUGUUCAAUCAAUGCAUUUGACAACAACAUCCAAAGAGAAAGUCCAAAUUUAGACUCUUCCUUCUCAAAUUUCCAACCUUUAAAUUUGGUGUGCUCUAAACAAUAGUCCUGCUUUAGGUUCCUAUAUUAUUUAGAAACGUUUCAGAGUAAUAUGCAAAACCUCCUUUGUGAAAGUUUUAUUAGUCCAUUAAUCUUUAUUCCAAUGCAACAUGCUUACAAAAGGGUCAUAACAAUGGAUAAGAAUAAAGUUGGUUCUGAGCAUAGCUCGAAAGAACAAAUUAUCAAAAAUAGUAAAGAAGGAUGACAAAGAAAUUGAUUAGGAAUGUGUAUCUUGGAAAAGAAUGAAAUAUUCCAAGAAUAACAAAUUCAAUAUGAAUAGUAUGAAAAUUGGGUGCCCCAGAUAUUGCAGCUUGAACUUCUCUGUGCAAACUUUCUGAAGACCAUUCUGAGUUUGACAUGUGUUUAGGAAAUCUACAGUGCUUUGUUAAUGAUCCAAGAUGUUGCAUACCCUUUUCUACUAAUUCUGGUAUAGCAAGAUCAUCAAAUGCCCCAAUCAAAUUUUGAGCAGCUUAAAUCACCUCAUGCCCCAUUCCGAUCAAUAUUUGAGCCGCCCUUUUUGGGUUCUCAACUCAAAUCCCCUUUGGCCUAAGGUGCCCUUUGCGGGUUUUCCCCUUAGCCUCUCUAUUUUUACUUUUUCAUCAUUUUUUAUUUUUCAUUUUCAUUUUCCGUUUUUUUUACUCAAAGUCCCCUUUGCAGGUUUUCACAUUGGUCCUUUCUUCUUCUUUAAACGAAAUAUUUCUUGACUAGAUCUGAGUUUAUAGGACUAGCAAUCUUACUCAGGAUCAGUGCUCUUCUGAAAAAAGGUCUUCUUUACAACAUAGGGACAUUCUAAAUUUGGCAUUCAUUUCCCUCUAGAAUCUUUUCGAAGGAUCUUUUUCAACAUCCAGCCCUUUCGUGGAAUACUAUGAGACGACCCUGUUUAUUAUGGGCUCGUAUCAUCGGGUACAUCCGACCCUAAUGAAUAGCUUUUAACCCUUUUCCUAGGUCCAACUGAUCACAUCGCGAUCGGAUCUUUCCAACUAUAAUACCCGGAGAGGAGAUUUCAAUAGGUAAAACUACCUCAAUCCCGUAAACCAAAGAGAAGAAUGUUGCUCUGAUAGAAAUCUUGAUAGUUGUUCGGUAAGCAAGGAGGGCAAAUGGUGAUUUCUCAUGCCAGUCCUUGUAAGUCUCAUUCAUUUUUCUUCAAUUUCCUUGAUGUUCACCUCCAGGCAAUUCAGUGACGAGUAUUAUAGUUGAUUUCAUACCUCAACUAUCGAGUAUUAUAGUUGAUUUCAUUUUUCUUCAAUUGAUUUCAUACCUCAACUAUCGUGCUAUUGUCCAAGUUCAAUACCAUAUUCUCUGGAAUUCUAUGUAAGCAUAUGAUGACAUUGGAGUAUGAAGCAGCCUCUAAUGAUCUCAAAAAUGAAGCAAUGCCGAUUAGAAGUCUUCAAUAAUGGUGAUGUCCAUGCCCCAUUUUUCUCAAAAUUUGAGUCGCCCUUUUUGGGUUUUCAACUCAAAACCACGUUUGGUCACAAAGCGCCAUUUUGCGGGUUUUCGCCUUGGCCUCUCUUUCUUUUUCAUUUUUUUUUCCUUCUCUCUUUUUUUCAUUUUCAUUUUCAUUUUGACUUUGAUUAUGAUUUUUCUUUUUCUUUUGCUUUUUUUAUUUUAAUUUUGAUUUUGAUUUUGAUUUUGAUUUUUUUUUUGUAUUGCAUCAGAACCCAUAGGAUUAGGCAAGUCUUUGUUAUCUCUUUCGAAGAAUCUUAUUUCCUACGACAGAGGACUUUAGAUCUUCCUCUUUAAUCAAGAUAAAAUCCCACAACUUUUAAGAGAAUAAAACUCGACUUCAAAUGGGCAAAGCUAUGCUGAAUCGAGAAAGGCAUUGCCCUGGCAAAGGAUUGCAUCGUUCAUACUGCAAAUUUCUGACAUCACGCAGUUGUGCAGAUUUCAUUAUCAGCGGUUAACCUGGCAUAUCUUAGUAUGAUCAUACAAAGACAUCUUUGAACUCUAGAGGUCACUCAACAAGGUGUUGCUUCGUCUUUACGGUCAGGUCAAUUCUAAUCUUCACCAAGCCCACCAUUCCUAAUGAUUCCUUGUGAGGUAGGAUCUGUCUAUCCUCUCGUGCUACUAUCCUCAACAAGUCCAGAGAUAUGCUACAAUCCAUGUCAUUAUUGAAGUCAUGUGAUCCCUCUAAAAGCAUAUCUCACUCAAAAGGGAUUCUAAGUCUGUAGCAGUGUCACUCAUGUCAUUGAUAUCUGAGGACCCAUAGUAAGUACCAAAGAAUAUACAAAAGAAUGUGUGAAUUUAUGAAUAAUCAUUUGUACAAUAUAAUUAUGAAUGAAAGAGUAAUGUGGAAGAAAAUAACAGAAUAGUUAUUCAAAAAGAAUGAAAGAAUAUUGGCUCAAAAAUGAAUGCAAAGAUGUAUUUUAUUAGAAUAAUAACGUUCAGACAUUAGCCUAUUUCACAAAGAAAUUUCUAUCAUUUUUAGGCUAAAAACAACAAAAAUGUUCUGAACAUUACUCUGAAUAAGCUCUAAAGACUACAGGGAUUUCUUCCGCAAGCCAAUUGCUUAGAACACUCCAGAUUUAUAAGAGCAGAUAUCUAACAAGGUCUAUUUUCAUUUGUUUCUUCAUAUAUGCCAUUGGUGUGAACACUUUCCAACAUUGUGUGUAUGUUUUUCUCCUCUUUAAUUUCCUCACAGAGCUUCAUCUCCUUGUUGUCCAUCAUGCCCGGAACCAAAGCCUUGAAUUUCACACUCUCUUGAGUCUCGUACCCCUUCUUGUGAUAGAACUCACAACGGUUCCUUGUCUUUCCAUGGUUCCCUCCUGAAUCAGAAAUAACUAAUCCCCUUCCUGCUCUCACGUCUAUCCCAUUAUCAUCAUGAUCGGGUAGUGGAUUUUCUACGCUAGACGAUUCAUCCAAUCUAAAGACACCCAUGUUAAUGAGUUUUUCAACCAGUUUCUUGAAGGCAAUGCAAUUCUCUAUUGAAUGCCCUGUAAUUCCCGCAUGGUAGUCACAUUGUGCGUUCGUGUCAUACCAUUUGGGAUACGGAGGUUGUAUGGGUUUUAAGUAGAAGGGGGACACCAUACGUGCAUUAAAUAGGCUUUGAUAGAGCUCUUUGUAUGACAUCGAAAUUGGUGUGAAUUGGAGCUUCUCAGUACCUAGUUUCGCUCCAGAUCCUUGUCUCAAUGAGCCUUGUUGAUUAGCAACCACCUUCCUUGGUUGGUUCACUGUAAUUGACUUGUUGUAUGCACUCACAUGGUUCCUUUCAUUCUCCUUUUUCUUUGGGACUGACCUUCUAUUACUCUCUUCCGCCUCAAUUUUUCCGGUUCUUAUAGCAUUCUCAAUUAUUUCACCAUUCAUGACUAUGUCAGAAAAGCUUUUUGUUGCACUUCCUAACAUAUGCGUGAUGAACGGGGCCUUCAGUGUAUUGAUAAAGAGCAUUGUCAUUUCUUUUUCCAGAAGUGGUGGCUGAACCUGAACCGCGAUUUCUCUCCACCUCUACGCAUACUGUCUGAAGCUUUCAUUCGAUUUCUUCUCCAAAUUCUAUAAAGUUAUUCUUUCAGGCAUCAUUUCUGAUACAUGAUUGUAUUGUCUCAUGAAAGCCUGUGCUAAAACUCUCAAAGUAGCAAUUUUGGUUCGGCUCAGCUGAUUGUACCAUUUUGACGCCGCCCCUAUAAGACUAUCCUGAAAACAAUGUAUUAAUAGCUGAUCAUUGUUAAUAUACCCAGUCAUCCUCCUACAGAACACGGUGAUAUGGACUUUAGGGCAACUGGUCCCAUUAUAUUUCUUAAAUUCAGGCAUUUUGAACUUGUGAGGGAGUAUUAAGUCUGGAACCAAGCUUAGAUCUUUAGCAUCGAUUCCAUGGUGGCUAUCGGCGCUUUCUAGGGCUUUGAAUUUUUCCUCUAACCAUUUACACCUAUUCUCCCACUGUUUUGACAGUUCCACGUUUGCCUUCUCUUUUUUAGCCAUUUCGUUGAAAUCGGGGAUAACAGGGUAAAUAGGGUUAUCUCCAAGGUUAGAGCUUGAUCCAGUCUGGAAGUGCAUUAGUAUUGAGGCAUCGGCUUGAAAUUACUGAGGUAGGAUUGUGACUGAGGAUUUGUGCGGGUACACCUCAGCUUGAGUCUAUACAUGCGGAAGAGUAAAACCUGGAGGAUAUAGAGGUCCAUCAUUGUCUCCUUCUUCAUCAUUAACCAUAGGGCCCUUACCCUUAUUUACUCCACUAGUCAGUAAUUGUGUCAGCUUAGUCAUCAUGUCAUUUUGAGACUCCCGCAUCUUUUCUGUCAUGUUAUGUUGAAUUUUUUCCAAUUGCUCCUUUAUUUGCAUCUGUAGCUUUUCUUGCAUUUAUUUUUGCAUUUGCUCUAGUUUCUCUAAUCUUUGGUCCAUUUCCUUAGUUUUGCGAUGAGUACCGUAAAGGUGAUUGGUUGGUUGGUUUUCCAGAUUAGCUGAAAUAAAUUUACUCAAUUAGACUCUUUCAGUGGACUUUAAUGCAUGUAAUGCAAAUGCAUGAAAUGAAUGCCUAAAGAGAUGUUGAUUCUGAUUCAAUUACAUUUAGAAAACUUUACCAGAAGAAAAAUUUCUUUACAUAAAGUGGAUAUAUAUAGGCUCGCCCUCAUAUUCCAAAAGACAACAUCGAUCCCUUACUUCACUUGUGUGCUAAACCUUGUGAAUUCUUCAAAAGGGGUGUCUCCUCUAUCUCUUUUUGCUUGGUUUUGGUCGCCUUCCGUUGUCUGCCUAUCCUCGUAAUGCUCAACAGCUUCUUUGAGAGAAUUGGAACGUCGAAGGUUCUUAGACAAAUCAUCUUGAAUCCUCGGGCCAUGGAGCAAAGUCACGAACUCUUUUAUCACCAUUCCUGUAUUUCUUGGAAUAUAUUUGGGCAGUCGAACUAUUUUCCACUUUAUCAAGGAAUCCAUAUUCCAUGACAAGCUUUCUAAUUUAGUAAUCGAACUUGAAUCAAUAUCUCUUUCCUAAUAUGCCGAUGCAAUGCAAUCAUAAUCAAAACACAACAAGAGGGGUUAGUACAAAAUAGAAGCAAACAAGGAAAACAAAAGUACUUAGUCGGGUAAACACUAGGGAUUUGGAGCGGCCCUACCUAGGAUGGGUUCCUAAGGUCUUCUACAUGCGGUUUGGCUCUAAAGUCAAGGUACCCGAACCAGCAGAUUCCUCGAUCCUCACCCAUUAUAGGCUCAUACAGAUCGAGUUCGGUUCAGGGGAAUACAUUUCCCGAUGGCUGCACGAAGAUGAAGAUCUCACGAAGACAUAGGUACGGAUGUAUUCCGAAAGUGAUCCACUAUCUUGCACGGAGGUGAAAACCUCACGAAGGAGUAGCUUCUCACUCCCACUUAAAAGGGUAAGACUAAAUAGUCUUUAUGCAAUAUGAUGUCAAAAUAAAGAGCUCAAUUUACAGUUAUCAUGCAAACAAAUGCAAAGAGAAGAUCAUAGUUUUCAAAUAAAAUUUUUAAUUUUUGACAAUAAGACAAAAAACAAUCAAUUUUAUGGCUUGACUCUCUAAAAGGUUCCUAGUGGAGUCGCCAAGCUGUCGAAACCACUUUUUUGAAAAACAAAACAGUUUAGUAGUAGUCGACUUAAAAAUGAAAAUUGGGAGUCGCCACCGAUCCUUUAUUGGGGUGUGAUCAGCUCACCUUAAAAACGAUUUUGGUCUAUGAGAUUUGAGAAAAUAGGUUCGGGAGUCGAUUACGCACGAGGAAGGGUUGGCACCCUCGUAACGCCCAAGAUUGAUACCAAAUCGAUUGUUUGAUUUCUUAGCGUCGAAAUUUUGAAAAGAUUUUAAAAUACAAUCCUUUUAUAAAAUGAAAUGGAUGAUAAGGCUCGCUUAUUUCAAAGAAAUAAAUUGUCACGCUCAGUAAGUUAGAUUGCAACAUUUCAAAUCCUCAAAAUUAAGUUUGACUUUUAAAGCCUAUGCAUUUUGAGAAGGAUAUCUGAUUAUUUGGGUCAAAUGAGAAAAUCAAAACCCAGUAAGUUAGGGUUCGAUUUCACAAAAUUCCUAAAUAUCGAAUAUUGUCUUUAUUUUCAUUUGUUAGGAAAAUCCUCGUCUCGAGAAAACAACAUGUCAUAUCUAAUGCGUUAGGACAUAACGUAUCGAAUUCCCGAGAAUGAGCUUUUUAUUUAUGUUUUAAUUAAAAAGGAUAAUCGGUUUUUUUAGAUUCAACGAGGAAGAUUGGAAUCCAGUAAGUUAGGACACAAUCUUUUCGAGGAUCCCAAAUUCCGAGUGUCGCAUUAUUUUGAAAAACUUUUUGAAUAAAAAUGUUCUCGAUACUUGAAUGAUAUUGAACGUAAUCUUUAAUGCGUAUAAAAUGCGAUGGAAUAACAAUGUACAAGGCGAAGUGAUAAUUCGUAAGUUGAAAUAUACACUAGUGAACACAAAUAAUCAAUCAAUAUAAAUGAUUAAUACAAUGCACAUAAGGGCAAUAAUCUCACAUAUAAUAUGUCCAUACCAAUAUUAACAAUUAAAGGCUAAAUGAGUUGGAAAAUUAAUCUCGAAUGAAACAUCAUGCAAACCAAUACAAAAAACAUAACAAAGACAAGAAUUGAAAAUUAUAUGAAUAACAGAAUUUAAAUAAAAUACACAAAGGUUUGAAAUAUAAAAAUCAAUAAAAGUAAAUAAUAUGUGAAUGAAUAAAAUAAUGUAUGUAAGUUAAUUUAAAUAAAUAAUAAAACGAAAAACUUCAUAUAAUAGUAUAUGUAUCAAUAUAAAAAAAGGUUGAAAUAAGCAAAAUAUAAAAUAAAGUAUUUUGGAGGAAAUUCAUAUUAUAUGAAAUAGGUAAUAUAUAUACAUAUGUAUAAUAAUAAGAAAUCAAAUAUAUUGCGUAUGUAUAUAAUAAAAAUAAUUUAAUAUAAAUUGUGUAUACCUAUGUUUGUGAAACAGUAUUAUAUAAGAGCAUUAUUGUAUAGCUUCCUUUUUAAAAAUAUAGAAAUAUAAUAAUGAAUCUUUAAAUAUAUUAUAAAAUAAAAACAUCAAGAGAUAUAUACAAAUCAUGUCAAAUUUACAUAAUAUAUAACAAUGUGAUAAAUUUAAAUAAUGAUUGUUGAAACUACUUUUAAAUUUUAAAAAAAAACGGGGAUCGACUUUUCAAAUUGAAAAUGGGAGUCGCCACCGAUCAUUUAUUGAGGUGUGAUCAGCUCACCUUAAAAAUGAUUUUGGUCUGCGAAAUUUGAGAAAACAGGUUCGGGAGUCGGUUACGCACGAGGAAGGGUUAGCACCCUCGUAACGCCCAAAAUUGGUACCGAAUUGAUUGUUUAAUGUCUUAGUGUCGAAAUUUUGAAAAGAUUUUAAAGUACGAUUCUUUUAACUUGAAUAAAUCAAAUAAUAAAACACUCUUAUUUCAAAGAAAUAAAAUGUCACACCCAGUGAGUUAGGGCACAACAUUUUAAUCUUCAAAAUUAAGUUUAUCUUUUGACUUUUAAAACCCAUGCAUGUUGAGAAGGAUAUUUGGUUAUUUGGGUCAAAUGAAAAAUCAAAACCCAGUAAGUUAGGGUUCAAUUUCCUAAAAUUCCUAAAUACUGCAUAUUGCCUUUAUUUUUAGAAGAAUCCUCGUCUCGAGAAAAUAACAUGUCAUAUCUAAUGCAUUAGGAUACAACGUAUCGAAUUCUCGAGAAUGAGCUUUUAUUUAUGUGUUUUGAUUAAAGAAAAUUUGAUUAUUUAGAUUCAACGAGAAGAAUUAAAACCUAAUACGUUAGGGCUCAAUUCUCUCGAGGAUUCCAACUUUCGAGUAUCGCGUUAUUUUGAAGGCUUUUUGAAUAAAAAUGCUCUUGAUAUUUAAACCAUAUUGAACGUAACUUUUUAAGCAAAUAAAGCGCGAUGGAAGUAAUAACUCGUAAGCCCAAAAUAUAUACUAAUGAACAUGAAUAAUCAAUCAAUACAAAUAAUUAAUACAAUGCAUAUAAGAGUAAUAAUCUCACAUCAUAUAUUAUGCUAACAUUCAAAGGCUAAUGAAUCAAAGGUCAAUCAAAGCACCAAACAAAUUAACACAUAUGAAAUUGUACAAGCUUUUUUAAAUAACUUAAGAAAUAUGAAAGAAGGGAAAUCAUAAUUAAUGAAUUAUUCGUAUAUAAAAAAAUCUAAAAUGAAUAAUACAUGUAUAAAGUUUAAAAUAAACUAAGCAUAUAGUAAAAUAGGGUUUAAAAAUAGGUAUAGAAAACAAUUUAAAUAAGUGAUAAAAAACAAAUAAAUAGUACGUGAAAACGAGUUUUAAAUAGCUAAUAUAAAUCAAUUUAAAGCAAAUUGUAUAGGAUAAUUUUAAAAUUAGUAUAUAAAGCAACUAAAAACAAAAUAAUAUAUAAAAAAAUAAAUCAUUUACGGAACAAGUUGAAAUAACAUAUAAAGAGUUAUAUAUAAUAUAUAAAAAAGGAAUUUUAAAAUAAAUCAACUUAAAGAUAGUCGGAUUUUGAAAUAAUAUAUAUAAAAAUCAUGUAAACUAGAUAUCACAUAUAUAUGUAUAUAUAUAUUUGUAUUUUAGAAGAAGUGCUAUAUACAAUAGUUUAAAAUAUGUAAGUAAAGUAAUGUAAAAAUAGAAAAUAAAAUGAUUUAAAUAUAUAUAUUAAAAUAAUCAAAAUAAAGGUUAAAAAUUAAAUUGAAACUACAGCUAAACAUGGGGUGCAAAUAAUAAAUAAUGGAAGGAGUAAUUUUUAUUCGAUUAAAGAAACGAGGGACCAACACAACAAUUAAACGUAAAAACUUAGGCGUUCAAACUCAGUCAACGAAAACGAUGUCGUUUGUUCACGGAUUAAAAUGAAAUCAGAAUAAAAUAUGUGGCGAAAUUAAAAAAUCCUGAAGAAAAACUGAUUUAAAAUAAAAUUCAAUGCAAAGGGACCAAUUGCGAAAUAAACCAUUGCACAAAAACACGCGGAUCCUUCCCUCGGGUUGGGUCACCACGUGAAUACCAGCUUCAUACGACGCCGUUCUGAGACCACCAAACUCGACCUCAAACGACGACGUUUCUAGCUAUAUAAAAACUGAAACAAACCCUAAUCUAAGCAGACUGUUUGCCAUUUUUUAAGAAAGAAGAAAAAAAACCUAAAAUGAAAAUACCCUCUACGCCGCAUCUGUAAAUCGACUGUUGAGGGGACCUUCAACCCUCGUCCGACUCCGAUUGCGACGGGGCCAACGAAGAUCAGGUAAACCCCUCUCCCUUCCUCUGUUUCUUUUUCUUCAACAGUAAAUAAAAGAAAAAAAAGAAAUCAAAGAAUCUGGAGAACGAAAAAAACGAGAGAAGAAGAAGAAAAACUCAAAAUCACCUUCCUCAAACUGAUUUUUUGAUUUUUUUUUUGUAUUUCAGUGCCCGUGUUGUUUACAAUAUUCGAAUGGCCUUUUAUGACCAGAAUUAUAAAGAAAAUAAAAUAAAAAGAAAAUCCUCCUUCUGUUAUUUUGUUUUUUUCCUCUUUUGCUAUUUCUUCGUCUGUGUACUGCAGGUACGGAGGCCAGUUGGAGUGUACGGAGGCACGUGAAGGCAUCGUGCGUGUGAGAAUGAGAGCAAAGAGUUACUACUGCUGCGGCGCUGGGAGCCAUUGCUACUAGGGUUUCUUUGAAACUGUUUUGGCCUUGUAUUGGGCUAAUGGUUUGGGUAGUUUAGGAUCUGUAUCUGUAAAUGGACUUAGCUUGUAUUUUGGGUUUGCUAGACUGAUGGACUUUUAAUAACUUUGUUUUUAUUUUUUUUUAUAUUUUGUUUAUUUAUUUGAUUUGAUCCGGGAAAAAUUAGGGUAUUACAGUUGCCCCUCUUUGCUCGUUGUUGUGUAAUGCGAACGGAGCAAAGACUCUAAGAAUAACCAAUUUUGACCGGUCAUGUUGGACCUUGGUGCUCUCUUUUUUCGAGUUUCCUCAUUCUAUCCUACUGCAUCUUUAGAGGUAUAGGGAUUGGUGCUUCGAUCCACUCUAUCGCAACGUCGGAGAGAUAGGAUUUGUAACUCGAAACUUUAAUCCGUUUAACUGCAAUACCGGGGAAGCAAAAUUCAUUGUUGUAGCUUCAAUCUGUUCCACUGCACCGACUGGGCAGUAAGAUUCACUAUUGCAGCUUCAAUCUUUCUAACUGCAAUGUUGGGGAAGCAAGAUCCGUUGUUGUGACUUUGACCUGCUCCACUGUACCGUAGGGAGAUAAGAUUUAUGGCUUCAAUAUGCUCUACUGUAACCUCAGGGAGAUAAGAUUCACCAUUUUCGAUUAAGAAUUCUUCGGUCUAUUCCACUGUAACCUCAGGGAGAUAAGACCUGGUGCGAUCUACUCUACUGUAAUUUCAAAGAGAUAAGAUCAUUUAUUUUAAUCCGCUCCACUGUAAUCUCUGGGAAAUAGGAUUACUGGCUUCGAUCUGCUCUGCUGUAACCUCAGGGAGAUAAGACCUGAUGCGAUCUACUCUACUGCAACUUCAAAGAGAUAAGAUCUUUUAUUUUAAUCCGCUCCACUUGUAACUUCAGGGAGAUAGGAUCUGUAAUUUCCCAACCUAUUCCACUGCUGACCAGGGAUAUAGGACUUGUAGCUUAAAUCUGCUUCCUUACACUUGAAGGUAAGAUUCACCGUCUUCGAUCUGCUCCGCUACUGCUUAGGGAGACAAGAUCUGUAAUUCCAACCUAUUCCACUGCUGACCAGGGAUAUAGGACUUGUGGCUUAAAUCUGCUUCCUUACACUUGAAGAUAAGAUUUGUCGUCUUCGAUCUGCUCCGCUACUGCUUAAGGAGACAAGAUCUGUAAUUCCAACCUAUUCCACUGCUGACCAUGGAUAUAGGACUUGUGGCUUAAAUCUGCUUCCUUACACUUGAAGAUAAGAUUUGCCAUCUUCGAUCUGCUCCGCUAUUGCCUAGAGAGACAAGAUCUGUAAUUUCCCAACCUAUUCCACUGCUGGUCAGGGAUAUAGGACUUGUGGCUUAAAUAUGCUUCCUUACACUUGAAGAUAAGAUUUGCCGUCUUCGAUCUGCUCCGCUAUUGCUUAGAGAGACAAGAUCUGUAAUUUCCAAACCUAUUCCACUGCUGACCAGGGAUAUAGGACUUGUGGCUUAAAUAUGCUUCCUUACACUUGAAGAUAAGAUUCGCCGUCUUCGAUCUGCUCCGCUACUGCUUAGGGAGACAAGAUCUGUAAUUCCAACCUAUUCCACUGCUGACCAGGGAUAUAGGACUUGUGGCUUAAAUCUGCUUCCUUACACUUGAAGAUAAGAUUCGCCAUCUUUGAUCUGCUCCGCUACUGCUUAGGGAGACAAGAUCUAUAAUUUCCCAACCUAUUCCACUACUGACCGGGGAUAUAGGACUUGUGGCUUAAAUCUGCUUCCUUACACUUGAAGAUAAGAUUUGUCGUCUUCGAUCUGCUCCACUACUGUUUAGGGAGACAAGAUCUGUAAUUCCAACCUAUUCCACUGCUGACCAUGGAUAUAAGACUUGUGGCUUAAAUCUGCUUCCUUACACUUGAAGAUAAGAUUCGUCGUCUUUGAUCUGCUCCGCUAUUGCUUUGGGAGACAAGAUCUGUAAUUUCCCAACCUAUUCAACUGCUGGUCAGGGAGCUAGUUCUUGCAAUCGUCAACCUAUUCCACUACUGGUCAGGGAGCUAGGUUUUGUGAUUUCACCGAUCUGUUCUCUGGGGAACAUGACCUGUAUAAUUCAUUUAUGAACUUAAUUAAACCUAGUGAUUAGGAUAUCAUGAUCAGAAUGAAUCAAAUGCUCCUUACUAGACAUAUGUGAAUGGUGUUUGCAUGAAUGCAGAAUUUUAUUUUUUCGAUAAUGAUCCCGCUUUGGUUGUCAUUACUCGAAGUUUAUUAAGGCUUUAACACUAGUGUGCUACAAUGCCUUCUCGCUUGACCGGCUUUUCUGAAAAACACUUAGCCAGGUUGCCCCCCACUGUAAACUUCAAAGUUAUAUCCACUGGGCACAAAAUCUGUACCACUCUUCCUUCUCAAAUUUCCAACCUUUAAAUUUGGUGUGCUCUAAAUAAUAGUCCUGCUUCAGGUUCCUAUAUUAUUUAGAAACUUUUCAGAGUAAUAUGCAAAACCUCCUUUGUGAAAGUUUUAUUAUUCCAUUAAUCAUUAUUCUAAUGCAACAUACUUGCAAAAAGGGUCAUAACAAUGGAUAAGAAUAAAGUUGGUUCUGAGCAUAGCUCGAAAGAACAAAUUUUCAAAAAUAGUAAAGAAGGAUGACAAAGAAAUUGAUUAGGAAUGUGUAUCUUGGAAAAGAAAAAAAAAUUAUUCCAAGAACAAGAAAUUCAAUAUAAAUAAUAUGAGAAUUGGGUGCCCCAGAUAUCGCAGCUUGAACUUCUCUAUACAAAAUUUUUAAAAACCAUUCUGAGUUUAACAUGUGUUUAGAAGAUCUACAUUGCUUUGUCGAUGCCCCAAGAUGUUGCCUAACCUUUCCUAUUGAUUCAGGCAUAGCAAGAUCAGCACUUGCCCCAAUAUGAUCAAAAUUUGAGCCGUCCUUUUCGGGUUUUCAACUCAAAUCCCCUUUGGCCUAAGGUGCCCUUUACGGGUUUUCCCCUUAGCCUCUCCAUUUUUAUUUUUUCAUUUUUUAUUUUCAUUUUUUCAUUCAUUUCAUUUUUUUAUUCCAAAAUCACCUCUUUCUUUUCCUUUAAACGAAGUAUUUCUUGACUGGAUCUGAGUUUAUAGGAUUAGUAAUCUCACUCAGGAUCAGUGCUCCUCUGAAAAGGUCUUCUUUGCAAAAUAGAGACAUUCCCGGUUUGGCAUUCAUUUCCCUCUAAAAUCCUUUUGUGUAGGAAGGAUCCUUCGCAACGUUAGGUUCCCUUCAUAGAAUUCUCUGAGACGAACCUUUUGAUAAUAGGCUUACAUCAUUCGCUUUUGAUACAUCUGACCGUAUUGAAUAGCUUUUAGCUUUUUCCUCUAUCAGGUUCAACUGAUCACAUCGCGAUUGGAUCCAUUCUGCUUCAUCCAAUUCUAGCUCAACUAAUACCCAGAGAGAGGGGAUUUCAAUAGGUAAAACUACCUCAAUCCCGCAAACCAAAGAAAAAGGUGUUACCCUAGUGAAGAUGUUCGAUAAGUAAGAAAGGCAAAUGGUAAUCUCAUGCCAGCCCUUGUAAGUCUCAGACAUUUUUUUUCAAUUCAUUUUUGGGCGAUACAAUGAUGAACUGUGGUGUCUGAUUUUGAAUUGAUCACAGACCUCAGCUAUCGUGCUAUCAGCUCUGAUAUCAUCUUCUCUGAAAUUCUAUACCGGUAUAUGAUGACAUUGACGCAUGAAACAGCCUCUACCUGUUUGACAAAAUGAUCUCAAACAUGAAGCAAUGCCCAUUAGAAGUCUUCGAUAAUGGUGAUGUCCAUGCCCUAUUUUGCUUCCAAAUUUGAGUCGCCCUUUUCGGGUUUUCAACUCAAAUCCACAUUUGGUUGCAAAGCGCCUUUUGCGGGUUUUUGCCCUGGCCUCUCCUUUUAUUUUUUCUUUCUCUUUUCGUUUUCAUUUUUUGACUUUGAUUUUGAUUUUUUUUAUACUCUGAACUCAUAGGAUUAGGCAAGUCCUUGUUAUCCUCCUUCGACCAGAAUCAAUGUUUUUUAUAGAUAAAAUCCUCCUCCUAAGAUCUUUCACUUUCAUCUUGUAUGCGAAAAACCUUAUUUGGUAUUAGAUUUCUUUCAUAGAGCCUUUCGGGGUGCAACUACGACAGAAAACAUCUUGAAGGGAUGGAAACUCGACUUCAAAUGGGCAAAGCUAUACUAACUCAACAAGAAAGGCAUUGUCAUGGUAAAGAAUUGUAUCUUUCAUACUGUAAAUUUUUGACAUCGUGCUGUUGUGCAGGUUUCAUUAUCAGCGAUUAACCCGGGCACAUCCUGGUAUGAUCGUACAAAGACAUCUUCGAACUCUAGAGGUAACUCAACAAGGUGUUGCUUCGUCUUUGGAGUCAGGUCAAUUCCAAUCUUCACCAAGCUCACAAUUUCGAAUGAUUCCUUGUGAGGUAGGAUCUGUCUAUCCUCUUAUUCAACCAUCCUCAACAAUUCCAGAGAUAGGCUACAAUCCAUGUCAUUUUCAAAGCCAUGGGAUCCCUCUAAAAACAUAUCUCGCUCAAAAGGAAAAUCUGGGUCUGUAGUAGAGUCAUUCAUGUAAUUGAUAUCUGGGGACCCAUAAUAAGUACCGAAGAAUAUAAAAAAGAAUGUAUAAAUUCAAGAAUAAUUAUUUGCACCAUAUGAUUAUGAAUGAAUGAAUAAUAAUUUGGAAGAAAAUCCAAAAGAAUGAAAGAAUCUGGAAUUGUUUGUAAAGAAUGAAAAUAUUGGCUCAGUAAUAAUUGCAAAGAUGUAUUUUAUUAAAAUAAUAACGUUCAGACAUGAGCCUAUUUCACAAAGGAAUUUCUAUCAUUUCUAGGCUAAAAACAACAAAAAUGUUCUGAACAUUACUCUAAAUAAACUCUAAAAACUAGAGGGAUUUCUUCCGCAGCUCAAUUGCUUAGAACACUCCCAAAUUUAUAAGGGCAGAUAUCUAACAAGGUCCCUUUUCAUUCGUGUCUUCAAAUAUGUCAUUGAUGUGAACACUUCCCAACUCUGUGCAUAUGUUUUCCUCCUCUUUAAUUUCCUCACAAAGCUUUAUUUCCUUGUUGUCUAUCACGCCCAUGGUCUUGAAUUUCACGCUCUCCUGUGUCUCGUACCCCUUCUCGUGAUGGAACUUACAAUGGUUCCCUGUCUUUCCAUGGUUUCCCCCUGAAUCAGAAAUAAUUAAUCCUCUUCCUGCUCUCACGUCUACCCCAUUAUCAGUAUGAUUGGGUAGUGGAUUUUCUAUGCUAGACGAGUCAUCAAAUCUGACAACACCCAUGUUAAUGAGUUUUUCAACCAGUUACUUAAAGGCAAUGUAAUUCUCUAUUGAAUGCCCCAUAAUUCCCGCAUGGUAGUCGCAUUAUGCGUUCACAUCAUACCAUUUGGGGUACGGAGGCUGCACAGGUUUUAAGUAAAAGGGGGCCACCACAAAUAGGAUUUGAUAUAGCUCUUUAUAUGACAUCGGAAUUGGUGUGAACUGAAGCCUUUCUGUAUUUGUCUUCUUUAAAAGACUCUGAUGUCUGGUGGUUUCUGUCUUUGGCCUACCCACAGUUAUUGGCUUUGAGUGGCCCUUGUUAUACCUGCCUGCAUUAUCCCAUUUAUUUCCCUUCCUCCUUGGGGCCUUUGUAGUAUCUAGGUACUCCGCCCUCGCCUGCUUUGUUUCAGCUGGGUUAUCCAGAGCAACAGGAAAAUUGUUCCUCAAAUUGGAUCUUAGGCCUAUCAAACAAUUCACUGGUGUCGAUGUACCAGUCUGACAAUGUUGGGAUUUGAUAGUAAAGAGUGCCCCGUGUGAACGCCUAUCUGGCUAGAUCUGCGCACUUAUUGGAGUACAAUCUAGGGAAUAGGCAAGAUCCUCAAUAUUAACCCCAAAGUAGACCACUGGGUCUUUCCUUUUUUCUAACUCUCCACCUAGCAAUCGGUUGAACUGGCUCAUCAUAGUUUUCUGCAAUUCUAGCAUCUGAUCUCUCAUUUCCUAUUGAAAUUCGGUCAAUUGCUCCUGCAUCUGUAUCUGCAUUCGCUCUAAUUUUUCAACUUUUGUUCCAUUUCUCUAGUCUUUGCUUGGAUACCGUAAGGGUGUUUGGUUGGUUGGUUUUCUAGAUUAGCUGAAAUAAAUUUACUCGUUUAGACUCUUUCAAUGGAUUUUAAUGCAUGUAAUGCAGAUGCAUAAAAUGAAUUCCUAGAGAGACAUUGAUUUUGAUUCAAUUUCUAGAAAGCAAAUUUCUUUACAUAAAGCAGAUGCAUGUACGGCCUCGCCCUUAUAUUCCAAGAGACAACAUCGAUCUUUUUCUUCAUCCGCAUGUUUGUGAUGAUCUCGCCAAUUUCCAAUAGAUGUCACUGCUAGCUCCUUUUCUUGAUCUUGGUCGCGAUCCAUCAUCUGCCCAUCUUCAUAAGGCUCGUCAGUUUCUUCAAGAGAGUUUGAACGUCGAAGGCAAGGUCAGUCAUCUUGAAUCUUCGAGCCACGAAAUAAAGUCACGAACUCUUUUAUCACCAUUUUUGUGUUUCUUGGGAUAUAUUCAGGCUAUCGUAUUACUUUCCACUUUAUCAAAGAAUCUGUAUUCCAUGAUAAGCUUUCUAAUUUAGUAAUCGGAUUUGAAUUAAUAUCUCUUUCCUAAUAUGCAAAUUCAAUGCAAUCAUAACACAACAAGAGGGGUUAGUUCAAAAUAGAAGCAAACAAGGAAAACAAAAGUACCUAGUCGGGUAACCGUUAGGGAUUUGGAGGGGCUCUACCUAGGAGAGGUUCCUAAGGUCUUCUACAUGUAGUUUGGCUCUAAAGAUAAGGUACUCGAACCAGCAGAUUCCUCGAUCUUCACCCAUUAUAGGCUCAUACAGACUGAGUUCAGUUCAGGGGAAUACAUUUCCCUAUGGCUGCACGGAGAUGAAAAUCUCACGAAGACAUAGGUACAGAUGUAUCCCGAAAGUGAUUCACUAUCCUGCACAGAGGUGAAAACCUCACGAAGGAGUAGCUUCUCACUCCCACUUAAAAUGACAAGACUAAACAGUCUUAUGCAAUAUGAUGUCAAGGUAUAAAACUCAAUUUACAGUAAUUAUACAAACAAAUGCAAAGAGAGGAUCGUAAUUUUUCAAAUCAAUUUUUCAAUUUUCAACAAUAAGACAAAAAAACAAUCAAUUUUACAGCCUGACUCUCUAAAAGGUCCCCAGCGGAGCCGCCAAGCUGUUGAAACCAUUUUUAAAUUUUGAAAAAAAACAGGGAUCGACUUUUCAAAAUGAAAAUGGGAGUCGCCACCGAUCAUUUAUUGAGGUGUGAUCGGCUCACCUUAAAAAUGAUUUUGGUCUGCGAAAUUUGAGAAAACAGGUUCGGGAGUCGGUUACGCACGAGGAAGGAUUAGCACCCUCGUAACGCCCAAAAUUGGUACCGAAUUGAUUGUUUAAUGUCUUAGUGUCGAAAUUUUGAAAAGAUUUUAAAGUACGAUUCUUUUAACUUGAAUAAAUCGAAUAAUAAAACACUCUUAUUUCAAAGAAAUAAAAUGUCACACCCAGUGAGUUAGGGCGCAACAUUUUAAUCUUCAAAAUUAAGUUUAUCUUUUGACUUUUAAAACCCAUGCAUGUUGAGAAGGAUAUUUGGUUAUUUGGGUCAAAUGAAAAAUCAAAACCCAGUAAGUUAGGGUUCAAUUUCCCAAAAUUCUUAAAUACCGCAUAUUACCUUUAUUUUUAGAAGAAUCCUCGUCUUGAGAAAAUAACAUAUCAUAUCCAAUGCAUUAGGACACAACGUAUCGAAUUCUCGAGAAUGAGCUUUUAUUUGUGUUUUGAUUAAAGAAAAUUUGAUUAUUUAGAUUCAACUAGAAAAAUUAAAACCCAAUACGUUAGGGCUCAAUUCUCUCGAGGAUUCCAAAUUUCGAGUGUCACGUUAUUUUGAAGGCUUUUUGAAUAAAAAUGCUCUCGAUAUUUAAACCAUAUUGAAUGUAACUUUUUAAACAAAUAAAGCGCGAUGGAAUUUCAAUGUACAAUGCGAAGUAAUAACUCGUAAGCCCAAAAUAUAUACUAAUGAACACGAAUAAUCAAUCAAUACAAAUAAUUAAUACAAUGCAUAUAAGAGUAAUAAUCUCACAUCAUAUAUUAUGCUAACAUUCAAAGGCUAAUGAAUCAAAGGUCAAUCAAACCACCAAACAAAUUAACACAUAUGAAAUUGUACAAGCUUUUUUAAAUAACUUAAGAAAUAUGAAAGAAGGGAAAUCAUAAUUAAUGAAUUAUUCAUAUAUAAAAAAAAUCUAAAAUGAAUAAUACAUGUAUAAAGUUUAAAAUAAACUAAGCAUAUAGUAAAAUAGGGUUUAAAAAUAGGUAUAGAAAACAAUUUAAAUAAGUGAUAAAAAAACAAAUAAAUAGUACGUGAAAACGAGUUUUAAAUAGCUAAUAUAAAUCAAUUUAAAGCAAAUUGUAUAGGAUAAUUUUAAAAUUAGUAUAUAAAGCAACUAAAAACAAAAUAAUAUAUAAUAAAUAAAUAAAUCAUUUACGGAACAAGUUGAAAUAACAUAUAAAGAGUUAUAUAUAAUAUAUAAAAGAGGAAUUUUAAAAUAAAUCAACUUAAAAUAUAGUCGGAUUUUGAAAUAAUAUAUAUAAAAAUCAUGUAAACUAGAUAACACAUAUAUGUAUAUAUAUAUAUAUUAGAAUAAGUGCUAUAUGCAAUAGUUUAAAAUAUGUAAGUAAAGUAAUGUAAAAAUAGAAAAUAAAACGAUUUAAAAAUAUAUAUUAUAAUAAUCAAAAUAAAGGUUAAGAAUUAAAUUGAAACUACAGCUAAACAUGGGGUGCAAAUAAUAAAUAAUGGAAGGAUUAAUUUUUAUUCGAUUAAAGAAACGAGGGGCCGACACAACAAUUAAACGCAAAAACUUGGGCGUUCAAACUCAGUCAACGAAAACGAUGCCGUUUGUUCGUGGAUUAAAAUGAAAUUCAUAAUAAUAUAUGUGACGAAAUUUAAAAAUCAUGAAGAAAAACUGAUUUAAAAUAAAAUUCAAAGCAAAUGGACCAAUUACGAAAUAAACCAUCGCACAAAAAUGCGCGGAUCCUUCCCUCGGGUUGGGUCACCGUGCGAAUACCAUCUUCAUACGACGUCGUUCUGAGACCACCAAACUCGGCCUCAAACGACGUCGUUUCUAGCUAUAUAAAAACUAAAACAAACCCUAAGCUAAGCAGACUGUUCGCCAUUUUUUAUAAAAGAAGAAAAAAAACCUAAAAUGAAAAGACCUUCUACGCCACAUCUGUAAAUCGAAUGUUGAGGGGACCUUCAACCCUCGUCCGACUCCGAUUGCGACGGAGCCAACGAAGAUCAGGUAAACCCCUCGCCCUUCCUCUAUUUCUUUUUCUUCAACAGUAAAUAAAAGAAAAAAAGAAAUCAAAGAAUGUGGAGAACCAAAAAAACGAGAGAAGAAAAAAAACUCAAAAUCACCUUCCUCAAACUGAUUUCUUGAUUUUUUUUUUGUAUUUCAGUGCGGAUGUUGUUUACAAUAUUCGAAUGGCCUUUUUAUGGCCAGAAUUACAAAGAAAAUAAAAUAAAAUAAAAGAAAAGAAAAUCCUCCCUCUGUUAUUUCGUUUUUUUCCUCUUUUGCUAUUUCUUUGUCUGUGUGCUGUAUGUACGGAGGCCAGCUGGAGUGUAUGGAGGUGCGUGAAGGCAUCGUACGUGUGUGAAUGAGAGCAGAGAGGCGCUACUGCUGCGGCGCUGGGAGCCAUUGCUGCUAGGGUUUCUUUGAAACUGCUAUGGGCUUGUAUUGGGCUAAUGGUUUGGGUAGUUUAGGAUCUGUUUGGGUUAUUGGGCUAUUUGUAAAUGGACUUAGCUUGUAUUUUGGGUUUGCUAGACUGAUGGACUUUUAAUAACUUUGUUUUUUUUAUAUAUUUUGUUUAUUUAUUUGAUUUGGGCCAGGGAAAAUUAGGGUAUUACAAUGAUAUAUAAUAAAUCGUGAAUAAUAAUACAUGGUGAAUUUAAAUAAUAUUAACGAUUGAUUCAAAAGAGUAAUAUAUUAUAAUAUUGAAAUAGCAUUGAUAAUAAAAUUAAAAAUAUACUAAACUUAUACAUAAAAAGAAAGUUAGAUUUAAAAUUAAAUAUAUCCAAAAAUAACAAAAAAGGAUUUUAAACAGAAUAAAAAUCAAAUACAUUAAAUUAAAUAAGUAUAGAUUAAAUUAAACUCAAAACGAAAUUAAAGAGAAAGAAACGAAAAUAAAACAAAAUGAAGGGCCCAAUUGAAAGGUCCGACCAACCCAGAGGGAUUGAAUGGGGAAAUAUUCCCGCCCUCUGAAACGUGCCAUUCCGUCAAGACCGAAUCCGAAACCGAAUAAAAUUUACAGUGUCAAUUAAAAAAAUGAAAACAACUAAAUUAAAACAAAUAAAAAGGCGGCGGGACCGGAAGUGCAAAUAACCCAAUUAACAGGAGCGCACGGAUCCCCAAUGGAGUGGGUCGGGUCGCGCGCGGGUUGCUGGGUAAUGGUCAAUACGGCGCAGUUUAUUACACUAUAAAUACCAACUUAAAACCCUAAAAUCAACAGCAGCUAUAGUUUUUUUUUUAAAAAAAAACAAAAAAAAAACUAAUAACACCUAUCCCCUCCCCAGCGUUGCUUCAACAUCGGAACCCCCAACCAAACGGUUCCGAUCUGAACCAAGAGGGGUUCGACGGCGGCUUUAACCAGGUAUGGGUUCUAAUCUCUCCCUUUUUCUCCUUUAUUUUAUAUAUAUCCUAUAUAUAUGAUCAAUAACAAAAAAGAAAGGAAAGCAAUCAGAAAAAGAACCGAAUGGAAGAAAAAGAAAACCUACUUUUUUUUUGUAUUGAUUCUCUGUGUCUUUUUGUGUGUAUAACCCCUUACAAAAUGCUGAAAAAUGGCUUUAUAUAGCCCAAAAUAAAAUGAAAAUUACAAAAGAAAAUGUAUUUCCUUUUUCUUCUUUUUUGUUAUUUGCUGCUAUUUUUUUUUGUUCUUUCUAUUAGCUGGCAUCUUUGUUUUCUGCUUUGCUGUUCCUUUGUUGUAGGUACAUGCUCAGAUGGGGCGUACAGAGGCGCGGUGACGUGGAGGCUCACGUUGGAUUUGGCGCAAAGGCGCUACACACGCGCGGACGCAACAUGCGCGAGGAGAAGGCCUGGCUCUGCUACGACGGCUGAGGCUAUUUCAGAAACUGCUAGGGUUUCUGCUUAUGCUUUGGGCUUAGAAUCGGGUCUAAAUUUAGGUACUGGGUUGAGAUUUGGGCCAUUGGGCUGGUGUUGGGUUAUUGGAUAUUCAGGCUAGUGGGCUUAGGUAAACAGGGCUAAGUACAAUUGGGCCAUUUGGGUUUAAUAUUCUGGGCCAAUGUAAAUGGACUAUGAACUUGGUUUUAUUUAUUUAUUUAUUUGGGUUUUAAUAUUUGGGCUAGGGCCGGGCAAAAUUUGGGUGUUACACUGAUCUCGAUCCUUCGUAGGUAACUCUCUAAAUCUCUGUUUCUGAUUCGAGGCUUGCAUCUAAUUAAUUCGACGUGGACACUUUUUAAUUUGAUGCUUAGUAGACCCACAUCUCAGACAAGCACCCAUCUUCCUCCCACAUUCACUUGGAUGUUGCUUACCACCGUAUGCAUAAUUCGAAUUCUUACCACCAGUACCAAUUACUGCAUUACUCUGCUGUGGUUUGCCCUUUCUAGCCUGUUUUAAGGGAUAUGAAAUCGAGCCAGUAGAACCAAAAUCCCUUUUAAUUUGAACCUUAUUCUUAUCACGCUUCUCGCGCUCCAAACGCUUAAUCUCCUCCACAAUCUUGGUCUUCUUAACCACAGUCUCAAAUACCCUCUCUUGAUGUGGAGUAACCUGAAUUUUCAUAUCAUACGUCAACAUAUCCUCAAACCUCAGGCUCUUAUUUUGCUCAGUGGCAAGCAUACCCGAAGCAUAACAGUUAAGCCUCAUAAAUUCAAAUUCAAACUCAACCACAAUCAUAUCCCUCUAUUUUAGCUCAAUGAACUCAAGUCUAUGAGCCUUAACAUACCUCCUACCUACAUACUUUUUUCUGAUAGGCCUCAUAAAAGUACUCUCAAGUCAAUCGUUUAGCCUGUGUACCUCUCACAACAGAUUGCCACCAUCAGUAGGCCUUAUCCCUCAACACUGACAUAAUAUUGUUCAGUUUAUGUUCUGGAGUAGAGUCUAGGCCUUAUCCCUCAACACUGACAUAAUAUUGUUCAGUUUAUGUUCUGGAGUAGAGUCUAUGUCAUCCAGAAUCCUCUCAGUAGCCUUCAUCCAAUAAUUAGUUACAGUCGGGUUGCCCAAAAUGCACCCCUAAAUAACUCAACUCUGUUAGACCGAAGCCUCUUAGUCACAAGCCCUCGGUUCCUAGAUCCAGUUCAGGCUCUAGCCACCCUCUAAAUAACCCUUAAUAUCGCUUGGGAUACUACACCAUCACCCUUAUGAAAAUUUUCACCUCUAGUGGCAGAUGAAUCCUCUCGAUAAUCAACCUCAGGAAUUGGAAUGUUGUCCUAAGUUGUUAGCGGCUCAACAGAGGCAACUCGACGUGCCCCACCUCAGGGUUGUCUACCUCGGGUGCUCAUAAUGAAUGCCCGAAUAUCUAACGUCUAACGUAGAUAUAAAGUUCAGAAAUAAAAUACCUAGUUAUUUCCUGAGUAUUUACAGUGUAAAGUUUGUCUAUAUUUUUAGUCUUAACAGUAACUAAGUUAGGAACAACAUCGAAGUCUUGGAAUUUAGUUUUUGAAAAUCUUUAUAAAAAAUAUUCGUGGCAUAGUUUUCCCAAAUAGCCCCUUUAAAAUAUGCAUCUAGACCUAAACAAAAACCACAAUCCAAGUUUUGAACUUGAUUCUGAUACCAACAAAUGUAACCUCCGUAAUCCGACCUAGACGUUACGUCUAGAUUUUGAAGGUCACAUGGGUCACAAUAAUGGCCUAGUAAAAUAAUCAGAUUCAGAAGUUUAUUUUUGAAAACAUUUGCUUAUCCUAUGGAAAAUACGUUUGAGUAAUUUUCUUAGUUCAAUAAAAAUUAUUGGGCUUUAAGCCAAAUUGAAUUAGAAGUUAUCUUGUAAAAACUCUUAUGCCAUUUGGAAAUUUUAGUUGAUAUUAAAUUUUACAAAAAAAAAAAGUUAGCUAUUUAACUAGUUUAAAAUCUAGAGACUAAUUUGUAAAGAUUUUGUAUUUUUGAAAACUUUGUAAACUUUUGGAUUAAAAUAUCUUUUUAGAAAUCCAAUUUCAAUUAUACAUCAAAAAAGUGUUUUUAACCAAUUUUGCAUUUAAAACUAGGUUUCAUGCAUUUUUAAGCAUAACCAUGAGUUUGUUCAACUUCAAAAGCUUUUUCAUCUAAUGUAAUUUAAAAUCAAUAAAAAAUAACCUAUGCCACAGUCCAAAUAAAUUAUUACAAUCCCUAAAUGAAAAUUUAUAAAUUAAAGUAAAAUUACUUUUUAAAAUAAAAUAAAAGUCCAGGACGAUCCAUCGUAUACUGAGUCCAAAUUCUAACCUCAUGGAUUCUCUGUAAAAAUAGUAAACUAAGGAAUAAGCUAUAGAGUUCAGUGUGAGUAUUAACACAUAAGUUUUUCAGUUACAAUAGGAUAAAAUAGCAAUCAAGUUAACAGUAACACAAUAUAACAAAUAACAUAAAUUGUGUCAUGUAUGUACAUGCUCAUGUUUAACACUGCAUUUUUUUUAAAUUUCAGAGAAAAUUCCUACCCAUCAUCCGCUACUCACCUUAAUAAGAGUUCACCAUAACUCAUCCAUCCCUAUACAUCUCGUUGUGGACAAGCCACCAGUAUUUGCAGGUAAACUGCCAGAAAUAUGUGAAUAAACCACCAUAAUUGCAGAUAAACUGCCAGAAAUUCCUCCUUACAUAUCAUCCCGAUCCCCAUGCAAUGGAUUAUGCCAUAAUAGAAUCAGAAUCAGUACAAUAGGCAUGCUUCAACAUACAAUCAGUUUUAACAGAAACAGUGGGCAUGCUUUUUAUCACGCGUUCAAUAAAAUAGUGACAGUAAAUAUUUUUUAACAUGUGAUCAGAAUAUCGGUAACAGUCUUAUGCCAUAAUAUCACAAAACAUAUGAAUCAGAACAAAAUAUAAAUUAACAAUAUACACAAUUUUAGUCAACAUAGAAGCCAGUCCAAGACACUUACAUCCAGCCAAUCCUAGUAAAAGGCUCAAAUCUCAUUCGGCUAACACCAAAGGAACUCAAGCAUUUCUUUAGUUACAAUGAAGGUAUAGAUUCAUACAGGCACUAUCAAACACAACCAAUAAUACUUAUGGAUAAGACAUAUGCAGAUUACAUUUGGUUAGAACCCACACCUUAAUCCGUACGUCCAAAUAACACUAUAUCUAAUUCGCUACACUCAUUUGCUACAAAUCUGAUCAAAUCUCAUCCAAAUUUGAACUUUGAAUGAACAAAACACACAUAACACUCCAUAUUAGAUUCAAUUAUACUAGAUCUGGGAAAACAUCUAUAGAUCCAAUUGCUAAACACAAAAAGACAACUUACUAUUUUCUCUAAUUUACAGAUUUGAAACAACAACACUUCUACAUAUCAGAUAUGGUCUAACGUGUCUAGAUCUGUAUCUUGAACGUUAAAUGCACACAAAAACACACAAUUAGAUUCGACCAUUGACAAAUACGGGAAGGGACCUAUAUAACCGGUUAACCUAUCUGAAAAGAAAAAAAAAGAUAAUUGCACAUCCGAACACGGGAUCUACUCGUGAAAAACACUAACACCUCUUACUUACAGAUUGGACAAAAAAAGUAAGUAAAUAUCCUGCCACAAUGAAAGAAAUGAAGACAAACAGAGAGGAGUAGAAAAAAAUGGUGGCAACGUGGCGAUAAGGAAAAAGGGGGCAACGACAAGUGGCAGUAACGGAGGUGGCAAAAAAGGGAGGGCGGUAAUGAUGCUAAGGGGCGCAAAGGUAAUGAAAAAGGGGUGGAAUAAGUGCAGCAAAAACGGUGGUGCAAGAGAGGAUAGGUACGGCCACAGCUGUGGUGUAAGAGAGGAGAGUGGUGACACAAGUAAAAGAAAGAAAGAAGAGAAAGAAAAAUGAGAUGAGGCUAAAGAGGGGUGGCACAAGGGAUGAAUUAGAGAAAAUUUUUUAGGUUUUUUGGUAAGGGUGGAAAUGUGAAAGCAAAAUGGAGAAAAAGAUCUUAUAUACUUGGGUUUUAAAAACCCUAUGACAGUAAUUAGGGUUAAAAAUAAGAGAGUGCCAAAAAUAAAAAUAAAAUGCAAAGGAGAGGACUUAAACUUCAGUUUCAAAAAUAAUUUCAUUGACACUUAACCAUUAAAUCAAUAACUCAUUUUAUACUUAGACAUGCAAACAAACAAAAGUAAAUCGGGGUGUGACAUAAUUUUUAACAAUAAAAUGAGUUUUUUAGAUAGGACAGGCCAGAUCGAAAAUAACCCUGGGCAUGAAAAUUUUUUUGGAACCAGGCCUCGACCCGACUCGGCCCAUGGACAACUCUAGUUAUCAGUGCCACAUUAGCACAAACUAACGAUGUUAGUGUGAAGGUACCAAACUGGGUGAUGGAAUACAAAUUUAGGAACCAACUAGGUCCAAAAAAAUUCAGAUACCAAUUAACUACUUUUGAAUAAGUUUAGAGGCAAACUACAUAUUAACUCAUAACCAAUAUAAUCAAACUUGCAAGGGUUAAUAUUUAGUUUGCCCCUUAAACUUGUCCAAAAAUAUGUAAUUGGUACUUGAACCUUUUUGGACUUAAUUGGUACAUGAACUUGUAUUAUAUCAUCCAGGUGGGUACCUUCGCAAUAACACUGUUAGUUUGUGCCGGUGUGACACUAAUAGUCAAUUUUAUGUGACACAUGGCAACUUCUCAAUAUGCCACGUGGUGAACAUAAAUUUAAAAAAUUAAAAACUCUAUUAAUUAUAAAAAAUAUAAGAUUUUUUUCACAUCAAGAAUGAACCUAGGCAAAUGAUUGUCUACAUACAUUUGAAUAUGGACUCCCAUUUAUCUAAAUUUAUUGUAAAUGUAUUUUUUAGUAAGUUUAUAUUUUUUUUAUAAAAUAUUAGUUUUAUGUCAUUAUUGUCUUAAAAAUAUAUAAUAUAUAAAUUAAUAAAAAAAUUAAAAUUUAUAUAAAUAUAUAAAAGAAUUAAAAACUUGUCCAUAUGCAUUUGAAUCUAGACAGCCUUCUAACUAAGUUCAUUCUUGUUAUAAUUUUUUUCUUUUACGUUUUCUAUUAAUUUAUAUAUUUAUUUUUUUUAAAAAUAAUUUUUUUAAUUUCAAAAUAAUAAUAUAAAUAACUUGAUAUUUUAUAAAAAAACCAAAAAAGUUAUAUAAACUAACUAAGAAAUACACAAGGAAUGAAUCUAGACAAAAGGAUGUCCUGAUUUAGAUGUAUCAGGACAAUAACGUGUCCAGGUUCAUUCUUGAUGUGAAGAAAUUUUUUUAUCAAUUUAUAUAUUUUUAAAGAUUUUUUAAAUUUUUUAAUUUAUGUCGGGUAUGUUUCAUAUUGAGAGAUUACUAUCCAUAUCAAAUUAACUAUCAAUAUGAUGUCAACAUAAACUAAAGAUGUGCAAAAAUACCACCUUAAAUAACAUAAUAUAAAUUAAGUGCUAAUUAAAUUCGAAAAUAAAUUUAAAUGCGAACUACCUAUCGAAGUAAAAUUAUAUGUUAACCCAAUUGGUAAAAGAAAUUACAUAAAAAAACCAUUAUUUAAUCCACAGAUAAAUAGAAUCAAGUUUUUUUGUUGCAUUAACAUGGCAGGAAAAAACAGAACAAGUUCUGGGAUCAAUUGACCUUCACAGUUUCAGGAGGAACCACCUCAAUUUUUUCACAGUUUUGCUGUCUGUUCCCGGAUGAUGGGGCGACUGCUCUUAGUUCCGAAGCCUUCGAUCCUUUUGGGCAACAAGAAUUCGAUUUCCUAUUGAAACCCAACCUUCUGGUGAAAUUCCUCCAACUCCUUUUCGUCUUCAUCAGCUUCUGGAUCUCCUCUUUCAUGCUCGAACAAUCCUUUUCAAGCUCUGAAACUCGUUGCUUCACAUCAUCAUCGCCACCAUUAUCACGCUGUUGUUGUGCUACUGCCGAGUUUAUUUGAUUUUGUGAGUUUUCAAGAUUGUCAGAGACGAAGAACCAGCCCGAAAUUGACGUACGAAGCCGUAGUUGUUCGAAGAAGAGGACUUGAACGAUUACCCUAAGAGGUAACCUCUCAUUUUGGGCUGCAUGAGUGCUCGCUUCCAAUGACAGCUUUUGGCAGUUCAUUAGUCUGCAAAGCUGCUCUCUUUCACCGUCUGCAAUCCAAUGAUGUGUCUUCAUGUACACAUCAAUGGCAUGAUAGAGUCCAUCAUCAACAGGUCUUGCGUAAUCAGGGAUUGUAGCAGCCAGUGCUUCGAACUUAGGAAGCUUGAAAUUAACAUCUGAUGCAACUUCUGCUAAAAAUCCAUCCAUUAAAGUGGCCACCAUCGUAAUCGGUGUCAACGAAUCCGGUGAUCCCUUUAUUAUUUGCCCCUCCUCCGCUAUGCCAGGAGGAGUUGCUAAUGCUGCAGCCUGCUGUACUAACAUGAAAUGAUCGAGAAUCCGCUGAACACAGUCGACGUCAUAAAGCGUCUCCGAGUACCCCAUAUUCGGUAUUAGCAAGUCCAGGAGUGAAGCUUGAUCUAACUGAGCUCCCACCCUCAUCUCCAGAUUCUCUCUGCAUGAUGGACUUGUAUGUAACACCAUUGCUGUGCGAAGCAACCUAAUGAGAAACUUGGUGGAUGCGACUCCCUUCUUAUUAGGAAGUAACCCUACAAUCUCUUCUAAGAGUGCCCUUUGAUCUGCUUCGCAAGUAUUCGGCAUGUUGGUCACGGUACUGUUCACAUCAUCGAAGCUUGAUUGUCGAUUCAUCAAGGGGAGGUACCUCCUAGCAUAGUGCACGACUGAUGCAGCAAUUGUUUCAGGCCUUAAACCUCUUGAUUCAAUGGCUAAAAUCAGUCUUUUAUAUAAUGGUAAACUAAGGAAUGAUACAUCUUGGUACCACCAAUCCUCGCCUGUAUGUUGCGUCUUGGUCGCAGUCGAUAUUCCGUUCCAUAAGCCUGAAUCUUCGGGACUUGGCCUGGUUUCGCGUCCCCACGAAGUCGUGCUGAAUAAGCUCGGAUCCGCGCUAGCCUUGGUUGCCAACGAUUCGAUGCAUCUAGAGACAAUGUGAAGCUCUUCAGCUUGUGGCAUAACUUCUUCACAUGCUUCAAGAGCUCUGACUGAAUCUGACCAAUUCCCCAGCACUUCAUUGAGGAAAGCUUCUGCCUGCAUUACAAGAUUUCCAUCUCCAUAAUCUUCUGUCAUUCGAAGGUACUCGGCUGCACAUCGGACGCUGACUAUGUUAUACGCGGUGAGUUCCAUACGAACACCAUAGCAGAACUUAGAUAUAAGCUCGAAGGCUUUAGCUCCGCCGGGUAUAUCAUCAAGUCUCAAAUUUAAACUUGAUCCUUCCCCAUUGCUAUACUCUUCAAUAAGCUUCUCUAGUAGCCCACUUCUUGAAAGCAAUGGAAACUGCAAUAAAUACCCAAAAUGAGACGCACUAUAUUAUUCACUUAAAACUCCGUUGUUCUAAAAGGUGAUUACAAACACUUGCAGAUUCAUUUAACUGAAAUUAAUAACACACCUUGUGGAGAUUGAAAGACAUUUCUCCAAUGUUAAUGCAAAUGUCGCUUGGAAGUCCAGAUGUGCAAACCCUAAAAUGGAAUGGAAAGAACCCUAAUUGAGAUCCUAGAAUCUGAAUUAUAUACAUAAGGAGGAAUAAGUGGCUAUAUCAUGUAAUAGUUGAAUUGUUGUUUGCAUAAUCCACCAUUUUUGCAGCUCAAAAGGUCUUUGAGAUUUAAAGUACUUCAUCUUAUAGGGGUGUAGACAAGUUUACACAACAUUCUAGUUAUAAAAAUUAGAAAGGAAAAAAAAAACGUCUGAUACAAGCCAGAACCUCUAGAAAGUUGUAACAUACCCCCAUUUUAUCACCAAAUUUAAGCAUAAUCGUGGGGUUGUCUUUUCAAAAACUUCAGAAUUUGAUAAAGCUUAGAAUUUAUAUCUAACUUAAAAUCGAAAACGCUUUGUAUUGUACUUGUAGUAUUCAACGAAUUCAAAAAACAUAAACAACCCCUUUCCCAUAUAAUAUACUCACCAAGUAUGACCUUCACGAUGAAAUAUUUCAGACUUAGAACCCAGCCUCAAGAAUGCCAUUUAUUUACUUUAAUGAAAUGUGAUUAUGAAUUUACAUAAACGAUUAGCAGAGAGAACAUGAUAGAAAUGAAAAGAAAAGGCUUAUGAAAACGGAAGAGACCAAAAAUAUUAAAAAUAAUAAGAAGAAUGAUGAAAAGAAAAAAGAUAGCGAGUCUAAAGCAAUGAAGUUAAGGGAAGUGGUUUCCACUUUGACUGUGAUUGGAUCUCCUUUAUUUUCUCAUACGUUGGAAUUCACUUUUUUUUAUAACCCUUUCUUACUUUGUAAUAGAAGUGAUCAUGGGCCGGGCCGGGCUGGGUUUGGACUGGGCCUAGACAAAAUUUAGGCCCAGUUUCUAGACCCAGGCUUAGGCCCGGCCCAAAAUAUGAGCCUAAAAAUUUGUCCAAGCCUGGCUCGAGAGAAAAUUGUUAAGCCCGAGCUCAGCCCAGCCCAUAUUAAAUAUAUAUAAUAUAUAUUUGAUUAAAAAUAAAAAAUAUAUUUAAUACAUAAUUCGGGCCAAGCCCGGGCCAAAAAAGUUUUAUCCGAGCCCGGCCCGUUUUCUAAACGGGCCUCAUUUUUUUGCCCAAACUCAUAUUUCGAGCCUAUAUUUUUACCUGAACCCUCCCAUUUUUCGAACGGGCCAUCGGAUCGGGCCAGGUAGCCCAACCUAUAAUCACCUCUACUUUGCAACCUCUCACAUUUAUUUUACAUGUUAACAAAAAUAUUUUUCUUACAAUAUUUCAACACCCUCAAUUCUUUGAAUCUUCAACACACUUGUUUCCAAUUUCCAUAUGUAUUGCCUAAUAUAGGAGUAAAAGUAUGAUAGAGGUCACUCAAAUUUCAUUUCACUCCCUCUAUUCAAAAACUAAGCAAAUUAGUCUCUAUACAUUAGAUCAAAGAGUAAACUAGUCAUCCAGUUAAAAUUUUUAUUCAUUUAUGCUAUUAAAAAUUGGUCUCUGUACAUUAGCAUAGGUACAUGUGGCAUGUGACAUGUCAUUGUCUAAUUAUUUCAUCAAUCACACUAGUUUUUAACGGUACGAAUGAAUGAAAUUAUUAAUAGAAAGGACCUGUAAUGACCCGAUUUUAAGUGAUGUCGAAAAAUACGAUUUUGGAACCUCAUUUUUGUAAACCGAGUUCAUAAAGGUAAAAUAGGAAUAUUUAUGAAGAUAAUAUGAAAUAUAUUAAAGAUCGAUUAAGUAAUUUAAUCGAGAAAAUCGUUAAUUAAAGCUUAGGACUAAAUUGUGAAAAUUCAAUCACUAUUAAAUUUUAAUUUAAAAAAUGUUUGAUGACCUAGAUAGCAAUUAUUCAAAGGACCAAAAUAGUUAUUUAACCUUUCAAUUGAAAUGAAUUAGUGGGAUUUGAUAAACCACUUGCUUUUAAUUAAUCAAGAUACUUGGUUUAAUAAGUAUGAUUAAAGUUGAAAAAUUAUAAUUAAUUAAGCUAAAUUAAAAUCUUAAUUAUUGUAUAUAAACUAGACCUAUUCAUAGGUGAGGUUGGGCCCUAACAAAAUUCUAAGCCCGUUUGAUAAGCUGGGGCCAAAAAAGGGGUCUAAAUUUUUGCCCAAACUCAGCUCGGAUUAUAAAUACUAAACACGAGCCCAGCCUGGCCCGACUCAUAUUAAUUUUUUUAUUUUUAUAUAAUAAUUAUAUAUAUAAUACAUCAAAGCCACUAAAAACAUUAAAAUAAAUGUUUCUAAAAAAAUUAAAAAAAAUUUUAAAAAAGUCUUUAUACUUAAAUAACACUAAGAUAGGUGCAACUUAGCAACUAAAUGCCUCUAAAAUAGUAUCAAAAUUAACAAUAAAACAAGAGUUAUAUAAUAUUCAAACAAUAACAAAAUAGUAGCAACAUGAUAGUGAAAUGACAGCAAAAUGGUGGGAAAACAACAGCAAAACAACAAUUUUUAUUUUUGAAAAUUUGAGUUAGAUCGGGCUCGGGCCAAAAAACCUUACCCAAGACCCGACCCAUUUUCUAAACAGGCCUUAUUUUUUUGUCCAAUCUCAUUUUUGAGCCUAUAUUUUUGCCCAAACCCUCCCACACCCAGGCCGGCCCAUGGACAAGUCUAAUAUAAGCUAGUUAGUGGAAAAAGAAAGUAAGAAAUAGAUUUAGCUUCAUCUUUCUUGUUCUCUUCCACCAUCUUUUAAGUAAAGGAAAGAAAACAAAACUUUCUCCAUUUUUCUUCAUUGUCGAAGCUCAAUUGGAAAAUUUGGAUGAGUUUUUACAUUAAUUUUACUUGAAUUUUUUAUGAAUUAUACUAGAUAAUCAAAGCCCAUAUGGUAGAUUUAAGAAUUAAGGAUAUUUUAUUUUGGGUUUCAUUGUUAUAAAGCUUUAACUUUUAAUGAUAAUUUAAUAUAUGAAUAUGAGCAUGUUAGUACUAAGUUGUAAGGUAGUGAAAAGUGAUUCACUUGAUUAGAAAUGUUAGCUAAGUUUGAUAAUUGAUUUUGUGACAUUAGAGACUAAAUUGAAUAAAUUAAAAAUUAUCAGGAAAUUGUGCUAUAGAUAGAAAGUAUAAGGUCCCUAAUGAAAUAAUGUGAAAUCAGAUUUCAUCUAAUGUUAGAUAUUGAAAAAUAUGAAUAUCCAGAGUAUAGGGACUAAAAUAAAUAAAAUGAAAAAUAUGUUUGGCUAUGUAAUUGAAUGUGAAGUGGAUGGAAAUUGAUAUUGUUUUUAUUAUUGAUUAUCAAACGUAGCUAAAGACGACGUGGGGUCAUCUCAAGAGAAAGAAAAGAGAAUUGUAGACAAGUGACGAAAGAAUUCAAUUUGUACUUUUAUGAUUCGAGUUCAAUACCUUAACACAUAUACAUGUGCAUACAUACAUAAAUGAUUGUUGCAAAACUACAUGUUGAGGUAACUUUGUUGCUAUUGUAUGACUUGGUUUAUACAUGAUGAUAUCAUAUAUCGAGAAUUGAAUUUAUCAUAGUAGAAAUGAGCAUGAUAUGUGAUAUGUGAUACAAAUUGAUGAUGAAAAUGGUAUGAGAUCAUGAUAUGUGAAUCAGUUUAUAGUACAUAAUUGAAACAUGGAUUACGCUAUUAACUAUUCAGGCAGAGUUAGUUAUAGUUGGCAUGUCGCAGGGUCAGAUAUAAUAAUUAAAGUCCAUCUUUGUCGGGCAACUCGAGAGGGGGUAAAAUGUACAUAUUCUAGUAGUCAUCGUUGCUGAGCAACCCAAGAGGAUAGAGUAAUAGAUUCGUGUAUCUGUCUUGAGUCCGUGUCUAGUUAAUAGGGGUUAUAAAACUUGAAUUUGCCAAAUGACAUGUGAUAUCAAAUGAUGAUGGAAAUGGUACAUUACGUAUACAUAUGAAAUGUGAUAUGUGAUAGCAUGUGAAAGAUCAUGCGAACCGGUUUAUAUAAGUCUAGAGGACCAAUAUGGAAACAAAACGAAUCAAUAGAUUCGGUACUAAAAUGUUUUAUUGAUAUAAUCAAAUGGUAUGAAAUGAAAUGGAAAUGUAUGCAUUCUUGAUGGUAAAAGGUUGAUAUGGUAUGUUUAUUUUGAUAUGCUAGUUAUGAUAAUGUAUGAGUUGAAGCAUAUGACAUGAAUAGAUGAAAAUGAAAUGGUUGAAACUUAAUAAUGCACUGAUUAUAUUUAUCCUGUUAAUGUUUCGUUUAUAUGACUUGAAUCAUGAAAGUACACUGAGCUUUGUUACUUAGCAUAUGGUUUGUUUAUUCCAUGCGCAAGUAAUAGAAGAUCUCAAAGUCUCGAGGAUUAAUCCAACAUCCAAACCACAAUUCUCGAUUUAGCAAUGUUUGUAUAGUUCUUUAUUUUUUAAUAUAUGGCAUGUACCUAGGGUUGAAUUGGUCAAAUUGGUAUUUUGAUCAUUUGAUGUAAAAUUUGAACUUAAGCAGAUGAAAUGUUAUAGUUAUCAUGUAUAUGGUAUAUGGUUUAAAUGGUUGAAUGGUGUAAAUGGUCAUAUCUAUUGAGUUUGGUUUUGAGUUGUGAAUGGUCACGUUGAUAAUUUGGAUAGUAAUGAUAUAUCAAUGGUAGUAUAUAAAGUGUUUGAAGUAUUUAUUAUGCUUAAAUGGUUUAGAUGUGCAAUUGGUUAUUUUGUUAGGCUGAUAUGGAUACUUUGAAAAUAGUAGGUGACGUCAUGACCUCAGGCCCUCGACGUCCCGAUGACACUCAUUGUUUGUUCAAGGUCACGAUGUGAUAACCCAGAAAUUUUGAAAAUAUUACAUUUUGUUCCUCAUUCGACCUCAGGUUAUCGAAAAGGCUUUUGUAAACGCGUUUAAAUCCCAAAUUUGAUUAAAUAUCAUAUUAUAAAUAAGUAUUAGUCCUAAUGAAAUGUAAAUCUAUUAUUUGAUUUGUGUGAUCAUAGUUGCUCUAGCAAUGAAUAUGACAUCCUAUAGCUCAGACCCGACGAUCGGGUCAGGUAUGGGGUGUUACAGGCCCAAUUUGCUCUUUAAUUUAAUGUACAGGGACUAGUUUGCCCAUUUUUUUAGUAGAGGGGGCAAUAUGCAAUCGAACUCUUAGUACAGGGGCCUUCAUGGUACUUUUACCCUAAUAUAGGUUUCUUUUUUUAUUUUAUUUUUCUUUUGAACAUAAUAUGAAUUUUAUAAGAUAAUAAGAUACACUAGAAAUUGUGACAUUCAAAAUAUGAGUCAAAAAAUUUAGGGAUUAGUCUCAAAACUGCACAUGAACUUUCACUCAAUGUACAAUAUUAUACAUGAAGUUUGAUUUUGUGCAAUGUUAUAUACGAAGUUCAAUUUUUGCAAUUUUAUACAUGAAAUUUUGAUUUGAUUCAAUUUUCAUAAACCACCAACACUAUUGACUUUAUAGCAACAUUUUACAUUUACAUAAUGCAUACAAAAAUAAUUAUACUUUUCCAAUAUAAAAAUAAAUUGAUAUGUUUAUUUAUUUAGAUGUAUGCAAUUGAAUCUAAAUCAAAGUUUAUAAAUGCAUUUGAACCACAACAAAAAUUUCAUGUUUAUAAUUGCACAUUGGUUCAAAGUCCAUGUAUAAUUUUGAUGUUUAUACCUAAAAAUUAUAUAUGUAUAUGUAUACUAUUAUUUAAGCCCCCGAUUGAGUUGGUUUCACGAGUAAACCAAGCACCAACUCAAGGGCAUCUCAAGGGUAAGGCAAGUAAAACCCUUACUUUAGUCCCUGCAUAUAUAUAUUGUAACACCCUGAAAAUUGAUAUAUUAUAAAAGUAGUAGGAAAUUAAAAUAGUGUAUAAUUGAUUUCUCGUUAAAGUAAGAAAAGGAUAUGAAAAUGAUAAAAGAAAAGGUUGAGUGAUGCCAAGGAAAAAUUUUGAAUUAAGAAGUAUGUUGUGAUAUGUUAAUUAAUGUAGUGACUAGAUUGUAAAGAUGUAAAAAAAUUUAGAUACAACUAUAAUUAUUCACAAAUUGAGGGUUUAAAUGCAAAUAUGAGAAAGUUGAAGGACCAAAAGUGAAAAAUAACCCAAUUUCUUAUAACAUGAAAUUGGUAUGCUUGGAUCAAAUUGAAUAAGUGGAGAAAUAUGAAGGAUUAGAUUGAAAUUUUAUCAAAUUAAGUGAUGAUUCAAUGAAAGAAUUGUACAGAGUGUUGAAAGGUAAAAUAGUCAUUUCUCAAUUAAGAUAAUUUCAUGAAAAUUAUGAAUAUUGGUAUUAGAUUUUAAUUGGUUAAUAUUAUUUUAUUAUUAUAAUAUAAAAUAUUUUAUUAUUUAAUUAAUGGUUAAGAAAAUAAAAAAGAAAAGAUGAUGGAAAUUUCUCCAUAUUUCUUUCAAGCUUAUGUUCACCAUGAAGAAAAGAAAGUUUUGCUUUCUUAACAAUUUGGUCCUUUUUCAUAAAAAAAAUUCCACCAUUUUCACCUAGAAAUCAAAGGAAUUUCCAUAACCACCGAGAGAGAAAAAUGAAAAUGAGACUAUGGAGGGUAAGAAUAUGAAUUUAGAUUCAAGAAAAUAGAAGUUGGAGGAGAAAGAAAACCAAGUACCAAGAGAACAAGGUAUGGAUAUUAAGGUUUCAUAUUGUUUUCAAUUUUAAUCAUGUUAGAAAUGUAUAGAAAAGAUGUUAAAGUGAAGAUUAUUCAUGGAAAUGUUUAUGUUUUUAAUAUGUUGGUGAAAAAAUAAAUUGAGAAAGUGAAUCAAGGAAAAAGGAAGAGGAAGUGAAUUGAGGUUGAAAAAGGUAAGUACUCAUGAAUUCUCUUGUUAUUUAAGGAUUAAAAUGUAGACUUGAUGAAUUUUUGUGGUAAAUUAGUAAAAUAAAGUGACAUAAUUUAAUAUGUGAAUAAGAAAAAUAUGAUAAAAGAUUAAUGAGUGUGUUAUAAGAUGAUGAAAUAUGCAUAAAGUAUCGUAAAAGUGAAUUUGUGAAAAAAUAUGAAAUUUUUAUGAUGACAAUGACUAAAUUGUCAAACUUGAGAAAAUAUGUGGAUGAAAUAAUAGAAGUGAAAUACAUAAAAAAAAUUACAUGUGAAACAAGAUAUUGAGAUAAAUUUUGUGAUUAAAGUGUAAUAAGAAAUAAAAUUGAUUGAAUAUAAUUAACUAGUGAAUAUUGAACUUUUAUAGCAAAAGGGACUAAAUUGAAAAGUUAUGAAAGUUUACAAUAAAACAUUUGAUAAGUGAAGAAUGUGGUAGAAAAUAUUGUAAUUUUGUGAUGUUAAGGACUAAAUCGUGAAUAUUGUGACACUAUGAUUAAAAUAAGAAAAGUGAAGAGCAUAUUAAUUAGAUAAUAAAGAUAUGAUAUUAUAAUGAAAUGUUUGGUUAAAGUGUAAUGUGAUAGUAAAUUUAAUGAAGGGUGAAACUAGAAUGAUAUUAUAACAAUUAUUGAAUUUCUUGGCAAAAAGGACUAAAUGGAAAAUUAUGUGAAAAUUCUAUGAGUUAUUAUUUGAUAAUUGAAAAGAUGUAGAUAGUACGAAAUAUAUGAUGUAUUAUGGAUCAAGAAUUUAUUGGAUAAAAUAUCGUGAUUAUUGUAAUUGAAAUUACAAUUAUUCUUUAAAUCAUGAAAAUGAUGACUAAAUUAAAUAAGUGCAAAAAUAUAGUUAAAUUGUCACAUCUCAAAAAUGGGGUUAGAAGAAUUGGGUUUGUGGUUGAUUAGGUUUAAGUCUAAAUAUGCAUGAAUGUUAAAGUGUGGUAAUGUAUGUUUUAGUGUAACUAAGCAUGAUUUGUAUGAUAUAUGAUACGUUAGAAUAGGAAAUUUGGGAUGAAAACACAAAAAUAGUAUGUGUGGAUAGGUGUAAAUGUGUCAUAUGUAGGUUUCGAACAUGUUUUGUUAUCUUUGUAAUUGAGUCUUGAUUUUUAUGCUAUGCAAUUGGAGUCCUUAAAUGAUAUGAAAUGACUUGCAAAAUUGCAUGAUUAAGUCUUAUAUGGAUAAUUUCAUAAUUUUACUCUUGAUUUUACAAAAAGGUUUUACUAAAAUAUUUUACUAAAUUUAUGAUUUAGUCCUUAAACUUUGAUUUAAAAAUUAAAUGAGUUUUACUUAUUAGUUCUGGUAUUUUUUUUCAAUUGUUGCCCUUAAUAAGUUAUUUUAUAUUUGUACAUAUGAUUUAAUUGUUGAAUUACGAAAGUUACUUAUAUCUUAUGUUAAAUAAGAAAUGAAUCUUAGGUUUAAUGGUUUUCAUGUAUCUAGGUCAUUUUAUUAGAGUUCACUAAAGGUGAAAUGAAUUAAAAUAUUAAUAAUGAGGCUUGACAUGAGUAUUAAUUGUUAUAUGUAAACUAAAGUGGAAUGUGCUGAGAACUAUAAAGUUAAAUAAGUUAAUAAAAAAAUAUGACUAUAUGUGUAAGCUAAUAAAAAAUAUGUAAGUUGAGUCCAAAAUAAAUAUAUACAGUUAAGAAAUAAGAUUAAUGAAGAAAUAGACUUCAGGUCUAAUGGUUAAGAGUUAGCUUCUCACCUUUAUGAUCCCAGAUUUGAACCCUUCCUUUCCUUUUUAUUUUGACAAAUUUAGCAAGUCUCCAAAAAUAAAGCAAUAUGUACAAUUAAGUGUCUAAAUUAGGCAAGAAUGAGUUGUAGGCUCAAUGGUUAAACGCUAAAGCCUCUCCAAAUCCAAGUUUAAGCUCCCUCCUUCCCUUUUUAUUUCAUAAUUUCUUCAAAAACACCUCAAAACAUAUCUAUAUGAUUAUGCAUCAAAAAUAAAAAAGGAUUGAGCAAUAGGCUUAAUGGUUAAGGCGUUAAGCUUCCUUGCAGCCAAGGUUUGAGUUACUGCCUCCUCUUCCUCUUCAUUUUAAAUUCAAUUUCGGCAAAUCUUGAGAAAAUUACGGGUGAUGCCCCUAGAAUUUAACCAAUUAUUUCCUAAUUAGAUUUCACAACUUGCUUAUUCUCAAAAUUGCAAUAAAAUUAGAAUCCCACCAUCUUUUUCUCUUAUUUUCCUAAUUGGAUUAUCAUAUUGCCCCUUUUCGAAUCCUAAUAGAAUUUGCUCUCAAUCUUUCUAUUUAUUCUCUUUUUUAUUUUCUUUCCUUUUCUUUACACAAUGUUUUCAUCCUAAAUGAUGUUGAUUACUUUGUUAUCUCGAAUCAAAUCAUCUUCCGUUCAAUAGUUUUCUAUCAGAGUUUAGAUUUGUAAUCAAUAAACAUUUGUGAUCUUUGCUGAGAAUCGGUAAGUACAUCUCGUUUUCGAUGUUUAGAUCUUAAAUUUUCGUAAAAUUUCUAUUCAGCGUUAAUCUUUCAAUUUAAUUACUCGACCUUUUACGGAUCUUGCCAAAAUCUUUGUUAAUCUUGUUAAAUCUUGAUAAAUAUUGAAAUCAAUCGUUAAAUCGUGUAUAGAUGUCGCUUGAAAGACCGAAUUUAGAUGGGUCAGACCAGAAUCAAGCGUAAGGAACGUCAAUUGGACUCCUAGUGAAAGGUGUGUGUUCUUUUCUAAGUGAAUCGGGGCAAACCGUAUCUAGGAUCAGGGCCCCACGGUCUCCUACAAUGGCGUGUAGACCACACGGGUGGACCGCACAGCCCUCCACACAGCCAUGUACCUUGGAAAGCUAGGCUAGUUUGUGAACCACACGGCCAAGAACCUCUCACACGACUUGCCACAUGGCCAUGUCUCUCCUGUAGGUUAACUUUUGUAUUUGUUACACGACCGAGUAAGCCCACCACACGGUCUAUAGCUUCUCACAAGGCCGUGUGACCCCAACUUUACAGUUUUGUCUAGAAUUUUAUGAUUUGUUCAGUUUAGUCCUUGAAUAGUCCCCAAACCAUUUUUAGAGUUUUAUUUCUUUCAAUUGAACCCCUAAUAAUACGAGUAUCAGAAUGCAUGAUUUGAACGACUGAAUUAUCAUUGUAUAUGCAUGACAUGUGAAAAAUAUAUGUCUAUCGCAUCUAUAUUAUUGAUUGUAUGACCAACAUACCUUAUGUUAUCAUUAAACUAAACACAUGAUAAGCAUCUCUUUUGCCACUGAAUUGAUUGAUUAUAAGUAUAUUAUUUGUUACCGUAUCGAUCUGUUAUAAGCAUAUUAAUUACUACUGUACUGAUUUGUUAUAAGCAUAUUAAUUGCGAUCGUAUUGAUCUAUUAUACGCAUAUAAAUUGCUACCGUAUUGAUCUGUAAUAAGCAUGUCAUAUUGCAUUACGUGAGGUGGGACGAUAUAUACGGAGGAAGGAUUGGCAGUUUAUCUGCAAAUUUGCUAUGCAAACCACAAUCAUCGAAAAUCUAUCUGCAAAUUUGGUGUGCAUCCACAGCCAAAGGUAGAUUCUAUCUACGAGAUUUUUGUUGUGCAUCCACAGCCAGAGGUAAAUUCUAUCUGCGAGAUUUUGUUGCGUAUUCAUAGCCAGAGACAAAUUUUAUUUGCGAGAUUUUUUCUAUGUACCCAUAGCCAGAGAUAGAUUCUAUCUACGGGAUUUUGUUGUGUAUCCACAGUCAUUGGCAGUUUAUCUGCAAACCAGUGGUGGUUAAACUACAACAUGAUGUGUAGGUGGUUAGAGUUCAGGGAAACUCCCAUUGUAGUGUGUAGCGGAGUUGAAUAGGACAUUUAUUUUGAUGUAAUGAAAUUGCAUUGCCAUACACAAAUACAUGCAUGUUGGGAAAUGUGUCCAUAUUAUAAUAAAUAUGUAAUUGUUUUCUAUGUAAUUAUUUUAAAGUAUUAAGUUAAUUUUUUUAAAAGAAAUAAAUGUUUUUUUUCAAAUUCAAUUUAUACAUGAUUAACUUGUGACACCAAUUUAAUAUUGAGUUGUUAUAAUAAUAAAGAUAAUACUAAUUAAACAUACUAGAUUAUAUGGCAUUAAGGUCGAUGAAGAAAAAUAUAUAAAAUUAAUAUCAAGAAUGAAACUUGCACCUAAAGAAUAUUAAAACUCUCAAAUUUAACCAAUCAUCCAUUUUGAGAUUUAUGGGUAUUUAACUUUAAAAAACUAUAAUAUUACUGGAAGAUAUAAAUAGUUUUAUAAUGAUUUUUUUAUUUUUAAUUUUUUUAACUGGGUUGAUUUAUAAUUAACUCGUGACAUUAAUUCAAUUAAAAAUUUUAAAAGUAAUUAGAUUAUGACAUAUGCACAUUACGGGGAACGAAAUUAUAUAACAAAUAUAUUUUCAAUUAUUUAAAUUUUUACACACAUUUGAUAAUCAAUAAAAAAAUGUAAAAGUGAUAAAUAAAUCAGGACCUACUUAUCAUUUAAUAGAAAAUAUUAUUAAUUAAUUAAUUUUAACAUUAUAUUACUUUUAAUGACUUUAAAUUUAAGUUUUGACUUUUUUUAAAUAAUGUGAAACUUUUAAGAAAUAUAAAUAAAAACGUAAAAUAAAAAAUUCAUAAAUUAAGUUUUAUUUUUAUUAAAUAAUCUAAUUAUAUAUUGUACUUAAUUUUAAAUAAUAUAUUAAAUACAUAUUAUAACUUAAAUUAAAUACUUAAUUUUCUAAUUUAUCAAACAACACCUUAGUAAAUUAACACAUAUUAAUAAUGUAUGGUAAAAAAAUAUUUAAUACUUAACAUUUUUUUUUUAAUUUUGGGUAAAAAAUACUUAUCCCCUUCAAAUUUUGUGUAAAAUACAUUUAUCCACUUAUAAUUUCAAGAAUUUCCACUUACACAUAAAUCCCCUUGAUAUCUAUAUAUUCAUUAAGAAAUUUUUAAAUAAAAACAUAAUUAUAUUCUCGAUAUUAUUCAUCUCUGCAAUUUUUAUUUAUUUUAUUUAGUUAUUUAUUUUUAAUUAAAAAUAAUAAAAAUUUAAUUACAUAUUUAAAUUAUAUAAAAUUAAAUAUAGUUAACUUCCUUCAUAAAAUAAAUUCUACUUGACUCCAAUUAAAAACAAAUUCAUUAAAUAUAAUUAAUUUUAUAUUAAUCUCGAAGUGAAUUCAUUAAAUUUUCUAUGAAAAAUUAAUUAGUUGUUAUUGUUUAGUAGGUUCGAGAAAAAAAAUUGUUUAAAAAAUUAUUUCAAAUAAAAUUCAUGAGUGAAGAAUAAUUUUGGGGAAAUAUAUUUGAUCUCUUCAAGAGUUUCAACAAUAAUCAUAAUAAAUUUUGAUAAUGAUCCUUCUAUAAUAAUACAUAUAGUCAUUUUGGAUCAUUUUAUAAUCUUCCUUCAACUACUAUUCAUUGAGCCAAAUUCACCACAUAUGUUCAAAUCAUUUCAAUUUAUAUAAAUAUUUGCACAACCGUAUUGAACAAUUUUCUUGGAAUUUCUAUAUCAUUCUAGCAUUUUAAAUCCUUCAAUGAUUUUAAUAUAAACUUCCACUAUAUAAUGAUUCAUAUAAAAGUCUAUAACAACAAUAAUUAGGCGCAUGUCAAAUCUUUCGUAAACUGCCAAACUAAUAAGAUAUUUAAAGGUUACUAUAUCCACCAUAAAAAAAUUUAUACCUUUCAUAAUUAAUGUCAAGAUUUAGUGAAAAAACUUCAUCUUUAUACCUUUAAAUGUUUGGACUACUAGUCCAGAAACUUCACAAAUUUAAUUCUACUUGAAUUGCGUCUUUUCAUUUUGGCCAAUCUAUUUCAUGUCUAUAAUUCUCAACAAAUUUCUUCAAGAUCCUCAUUUUCUUUCAUUAUCUCAAGAAUAAAAUUGUAUGCAAAAUCAUUUUUGAUAAUUUUUCAUUCUUGUAGUUUCAUAUUUUCUCGUAUUGGCAUAACUUAUUGAGAUCUGUUUAUUUUCAUUAUUUCCAUCAUCAAUUUCAGGUACCUGAAUCUCUUGUGGAGUUUUAAUAGUUAGUUAUGUCUUGGGUCUCUUCAGGAGCACCGCCUCCACUAUAUGAUCAUAUUGAUUUAUUAUUUUCUUUUUCAUCUUUGGAACCAAUCUAUCUACCGUGCUUUAGGCAUGCAUUAGUUUUGUUUAUUCUAACAAAUUGUCCUACUAGGACUUUGAUACAUCAACCGGUAUAUGAGACUUGGUUAUUCUUAUUAGAUCAGUAAAUAGACUUGGCGGUUAACUUACAAUAAAGUGAAUUACCUUUUGAAAUUUUGGUUCAAAUUACUUUCUAUGAUGAUCUACAUAAUGAUAAUUCAUCCAAGUAAUUAUUGCAUCCAACUAUUAUUUAUCUUCUCUUAAUGUUGGGAAAACUAUCAAAUCAAAAUAGUAAUAAACUCAUAUCAAAAUUAAAUCUCCAAUUUGGUCAAAACAUCUUAUAAUACAAAGAGAUUCAUAAUUAAUAUAUAUUCUCAACAUUCUUUGAAUGCUUAUUUUGUGCAUUGUGGUGGAGUAACUUAAACAUUCAUCACACAUUCAAAACUUCUAAAAUAGUUUGUAUUUAGCUUUUAACCAAAAUUCAAUUGUAAUGCAGAGUAUUUAUCAUAACUUAUUGGGAUGAUGCGUACAAUUUCUGAUUAAUGUAAAAUAUUAUAUCCUUAUACAUGUAUGCAAAAAGUUUUGUUCACAAAAGAUAUGGUUUAGCUACUAAUUGGAGGCAUUUACUUUAUAAAUUAUGCUAAACCAUUUUAUACAUAUAAACAAUAGGCUUUUGCGAUAGUCACUCGCACUAACAAUCUAGCAUUCAAUAAUAAUUGAAAGCCUGAGAAAUAAACUCACCAACAUCAGUAAGAAUUGUCUCAAUUGCAUAAUCUGAAAGUUUUGUUUUUAAACAAAUCUAAGUAAUCUAGCAAACUACAGAUUGCGGGUUGAUAACUCACAGGUGGUUAACUUGUAAAUACAUCUACCAAAAUCAUAUCAAAAUAUCCAUUUGUUGGAUAACUGGACCCAUGUUUCUUUCAGAAAUGCAAGAGAUUCAAUCUCAACUUUUACUAGUGAGGUUUAAUAAAUCUUCUUUCAGAAGAAGGAGCACUUGAUAAACGAAGAAUCUUCAAGUUCUUUAAUGAAUAUUCAUGUAAAUUCUUAUUUUGUUGCAUCAUUAUUGAUCAAGAUGGUCUAGUCGAUCAUGCAAACUAAUUAGUAUAUUUGAACUAGUAAACUUCUGGUUUAUUAUGCACAUGAUUCAACAAUAAUAAUAUAAACUUCCAGUUUAUGUGAUUUAACCAUAUUAAUAUAUAGUACCAACUAGCGAAAAAUGCAUCCAAUUUUCUAAUACAAAAUUCUUACCAAAAUCUAAUAUAUAGAAAUUAAUCUUCUCCUCACCCAUAAUUUCAAUAUGAUAUUCGUUGUAACAAAUAUCUUUUUAAAAGAUAAUAAUUUCUUUGAGAACGACUAGAACGUAAUGUAAUAAUUAUCACUUUGUUUGUUCGAAUAACAAUGUAUUAACUCUUCUGGAACUUUGAAUUAAUUUUAUACUUAUGAAAGGAUAACAUAUUUCAUUACGAAACAAGAAGAAUAUUUUUUUUAUCCCUAAUGAUAGUAUACACUGUUGUAUUGUCUACGAGACAUAUAUUUUCUUCUUUUUAAGGAAUAUUAAUUGAAUAAUAAGAUAUUCAUGUGUAUGAAAAUUACAUAACCAACAACUUUUUUUAAGUUGUCUCUCUUCUUUGAAGGGUUAUAUUGUGAACUCUUAUUGUUCUCUUAUUUAUCUCUAUGUUUCCACUUCUAGUGAUUAAAAGUAAUUACUACUAAUAAGAUAUCCAAGAAUCAAGUAACGAGUGCCACAAUUCACAAAAAAGAUGCAACUCAUACAUUUAGAGAUUUCAUCUUUAACUAAAUACAUACAAUCCUAAGGAAUAUGAUCAUAAGAUUGCAUAUAAAUAUCAAAAUAAAAUCAUAUACUUACAAUUUAGUAAUGAAUAGCAAAUAAUUGCAACAACAAGCUCCUCAAGAUGGAUUAUAGAAAUCCUAAAAAAUGACAUGCUAGCAUUUAAAAUGGUAGCAUCAUAAAGAUAACAUUAAUAUCCCUUUACUAUUUAGGUUCAUCAUGAUUACCAAUAUGGUAUGCCAAAUCUGAUUUAACAUCAUUCUUAUUGUUCAUUUCCACAGUGUCUCCCUUUCGUUUAAUAGAAACUUGAUAGAGUUUAACCAAAUGUUUAGGCGUUUGACAAGUACACAACCAAAUACCUUUAAUACCACGUUGAUAACAUAAUUUAUUUCUUCCCUUGAAGGGUUCUCUUCGGAAUUAUUGUUCUUCUCCUGCUUAUCUUUAUUUUUUUCACUUCUGGAUUAUUAUAGUUCAACCUACCACAAUUACAUCUUUCAGAUUUAUUAUGUAUAUAUUCACUUCAGGAAAUGGAGCAGAUCCAGUAAGAUAGGCUUUGUGAUUUUCAUUAAAAGCUCGUUAUUUUGUUCAAUCACAAGUAAAUAUGAUAUUAACUUAGAAUUUUUUUUAAAAUUUCUCAAUAUUGCUACUAUAGGACCAUAUUUGAAGCAUGAAAAUUUGAAAACUUUUCUCUAACAAGUUCUCAUCAGUAAUAUUCUCUCGUAUAAUUUUAAUUGAGAACUUAUCCUAAUUACUUCAGAGUUAUACCCACUCACAAUUUUAAAAUCUUGCUACUUCACAUGCAUUUGAUGAUAACGAGCUUUAGAUAAGAGAUCAUGCAACUUCGGGUGCAUAAAAUUAUCAUAGUCUGAUGGCCAUAUCUUUCAGAGUUAAACAUUUGCAUGGAUAAAGUUCACAUCUCAAACAUAAAAAUAUUUUUUUCAUAACCCCUAUCGGAAAUAUGCAUGAAUUUCAGUUCAAUUCAAAAUCUAUUUGUCCAUGAAUCUAGCAUGAUUAAUCUCAAAUUAUAAUAAACACAUGCUAUAAUAAAAUAAAUCAUAGUAAAAUAUACUUGAAGAUUUUUAACAUCAUCAUCAUUACCCUAGCUAUUAUCAUGAGCACUAUUACAAUUACUAAAACAACUUUACUUUCAUAAUAACAUUUAAGUACUAAUAGUAAAAACAUUUAUAAAACAAUCCAUUUUUUUAUGUACAAUGUUUAAAGUUAUUCGAUACACAUUGCUCCAAAUUUUAAUAUCAUAUAUGUUAUAAAAUCAAUCCAAUCAUUCAACAAUGGUAGGUUAAUAAGAAUCAAUAGAUCCUAUCGAAUUUUCUUUUAAUCAACAACAACAUGUUAAUAAUACUCUCCAUUACAAUUUUAAUUAAAUUUCAAGUAUAUUUAAUAGUAAUAAUUUAAUCUUCAAUUCUUUUCUUUAUUCAAAUAUCAUGUGUAAUAUAAUUCAAAACCUCCCUAAUUUAAAAAAAAAACUUGAAAUAAAUUUUUUUUCCUUUCAUAAGAAAGAUUAAAGAACAAUUUUAUCAAAAAAAUAGUAGAAAAACAUACAAAAUAAAAUUAUAUAAAUUUCUUGAUAAAAAGCUUAAAGAUCAUAAAAUAUCUAAAUGGUUAAAGGAAAUCUUAAGUACCAAUGAGUGUUUGGUUCAAAUUUUGUGGAUGUUUUCUUGGACGGAAAUUAUUUUUAUUAUCAAUGGAAAUGAUUUACAAUACUUCUUCAAAGUUUAUAUUUAUAGAUAUAAUAAAUAUAUAUGAUAUGAAAUUCUAUUUCUAAUGACUAUUAGAGUCCUAAAAUACAUCAAACUUAUUUCGAUUUUUAUGAAUAUCUACUUGAUAGUAAAAUAUUAAUAAAAAAUAAUUAUCAUGAAUUGUUAUUUUUUUAAAUUAAACUUACAACUAAUGAUGCCUUAGCUUAAUGGAAGUUAAGGUCUUGGAACUUUUAAGAUCUUAUGUUUGAGUCUCACUUAGCGUAUACUAUAUAUGGAUUCUCAGCCCCACCAUAUAUAAACUCUAUAUAGAUUUAUUUUAAGUUUGCAUAUAUUCUAAUUAUCAUUUUUUAUAAUGGCUAAUUUUGGUUACAUUUAUUUGGAUGUAUUUUUUAUAAUUGCAAAUGUGAUUAUACCUGUAAUUUUAAACAUAUAUUAAUGGGUUGACGUGUAAAUUUGCCACUUUACUUUUAGUGAUUAUUGAAAUUUAUUUCUAUAAUUUUUAUGUUAAUAUUUGUCAUUGUACUUAUGAACUAAAACUUGAAUUAUAUAUUGAAUCUUAUCAUGUUUGAUUGAAUUUUAUAACUAAAGUUUGAUUUUUUAAUGAUUUUUUCUAUGCAAUUUUAAUCUAACUAAAAUGAUUUGAGAGAAGAUUUAAUAAAAAUAUUUUUAAUAUUUUAUUUUAAUACAUAACAACAAUAAGUUAAUUAAUGUAAUAUUAAAAAUUAAUAAAACAAGUAUUUUAUAAAAAGAUUACUUUUUUAUUUUUAUAUAUAUUUAAAAUUUCAAGGCUUUAUAGCAUUAAAUAAAAAAUUUAAGUUAAUUUAUUAAUUUUUAAAAAUUUAAAUUAUUGUUAACUAUUAAAAUAAAAUACUUAAUCAAUAUUAAAUAGUUAAUUUUAAUUAUUGUUAAUUUUGUUUUUAAUUUGUUAUCGAAAUUUAUUGAAUGAUAUAUAUUUUUAUUUUGAACAUAUUAAUUCUUCAGCGAUGAUAUUUUCGAGAUUUUAUUAUUUUUCUAAAUUUUCUAUAUAAAAUGAAGGUAAAAUUGAUAAAAUAAAUAUAAAAGUUGAAAACAACGGGAAAAUUACAUAUAAAAGCCAUUUUUUUAAAAUUUACCGAAAUGGGUCCGAUAAAUCAUUAUUUACCGGAAUGGCCCUAUUUUUUCGAAAGCGCAUCCACGUCAGCGCGAUGUCAGGGGACAUGGCAGAAAAACGCAUCCCUGAGGAAGCGUUUUGCCUACGUGGAUAGAAAUCGCUCCCUCAAGGGUGCACUUUAUGUCCAAGUAGGCAAAACGCUUCCCCAGGGACGCGUUUUGCCAGUGUAUCCUGCGAUUAGGGUUUUGGGUUAUUGGGUUAGGGUUAGGGUUAAGGUUUUGGUGUUUUUAAGUUUGGGGUUUUAGAGAAAAAAUUAAAUAAAUAAAGGAGUAAGGUUUAGGGUUUGUCAAUUAAAUUAAUUAUAAAUUUUUCAAAAUUGGAUUAGGUUUCGUGUUUAUUAUUUUUUAAUAAAAAAUUAAUUAAAUUAGGGUUUAAAGUUACUUGAGUAAUUUAAUUAAAAAUUAUUUAAAAGUCAGAUAAGGGUUUAGAUUUAAGGGUUUUUAAGGAAAAAUUAAAUAAAUUAGGGUUUAGGGUUACUUGAGUAAAUUAAUUGUAAAUUUUUAUAAAAUUUGAUUAGGGUUUAGUGUUUAGGGUUUUUAAGUAAAAACUCAAAUAAAUUAGGAUUUGGGGUUUAGGGUUACUUAAUUAAAUUAUUUGUUAAUUUAAAAAAGCUCCCACGUGGACGCUCUUUUGCUACAAUAGCUCCUGAAAAAAUAAUUUCGAGUAGACGUUUCUGAGCAAAUAGUGUCAAAAACGCUUUAAGCAGGAUGCUUUGUCAGCAGAAGUCCUGAAAAAAGCUCCCACGUGGACACGCUUUUGCUACAGUGGCGCAUGUUUGGCUGAGGCUAUAAAUGAUACAAAAUUUUUUCUCAGAUUGUAUAACUUACAGUAAAAAAAAUUUAGAGAGGCUAAAAAUGAUAGAAAUUGAAUAUGAGUGAACGUAUUAGUGCUGUUAUUUACUAUGAUGGUGAGGUUUGCCACACCGAGAACGGUGUUGUUUUUUUAUCAGAGAAUACAGUACGACUGAUUUUUAACCAGAACAUAGAUUUGACAGAACUUCGUAAAAGAAUUAGGCGUAUAAUAUUUGGAACGACGCCAAUGAAAGUUUUGUCUAUUACGUAUCGAUUUUGUUCUUCUAUUGAUCUGGUGAUAUAUGACUCGUUCGACAUAAAAUGUGUUCGUAGCUUGGAGGCAAUGGUGUAGACUCAUCUCACUAGUGGAGCACCCUAUAUUGAGUUAUAUGUACAAUUUACAUCACCGAAUGAUGCACUUGCGACUGGUGUUCGAGAGGUAUACGCGACCCUUGCCCGACACUCGGUUAGUGGGUUACAAAACACGGAACAGCCCAUGUUUGGUAACGGUGUGGAAUACAUAACCCCUGUACGACACUCUGUCGGUGGAUGAGACAUGCACCUCGGUGGGUCGAUGUUUGAUGCUAGAAAUACAUACUGGGGAACGGCAUCAACUUCUAGUGGUUGGCAAUCUACAUCCAAUUGGAGACGUUAUGAAACACCCAGAAGAAGGGAUGAUGUACUCCUUACGACGUCCACCAGUGAGGGGACCUCGUACAUUACCGAUGAUGGUGGGUUAGAAGAUAACUCCGAUGUGGAUCCACCUCGAGAGCUUGGGCCCGAUGGUGCAGAAGUUGUAUUAUUCUCUGAACCGAAGCCUAUUCUAACCGAACCUGAAGAUGUUGAAGGGGGUUCAGAUGAAGAAGAAGAUCUACGAUUCAGAGCAUACUCACCUCCAGCUCACAUGCAUAAUGUCGAUCUGUCUGUAGAUGAUGCGUUGGAGUUUCCAGAUCUACCACACCGGUUGCGUGAUCGUACAAGUUCGGUACUGAAUUUUGGUGAAUUUGAAGUUGGUAAUCAGUUUUUCAACAAGGAUAGUUUUAUUGGUACUUUGAAACAACAUAGCAUCAAUAGCGGCGUUAACUACUACGUCGUUAAGUCCAAAGCUGAUAAGUUUGAGGCAAAGAGUGCAAUGCAAGACGGUACAUGUUCCUGGAAAAUCUACACCUCGUUGAGGAAAAGGAUAGGGUUGUGGGAGAUUAAAAAGUAAAAAGGUCCACAUACAUAUGCUGCAGGUAUAGUAUUUAGGGUUUCUAAAUAAUACUAUUUUUAUGUAAUGUUGCAUUAUUUAAUGUACUCCGUUUAUAGAUAUUUCACAAGAUCAUCCCAAGAUUGAUUCAGCUAUGUUAGCUAGCUUGAUACUACCCACGGUGAAGGCAGAUCCCAAGACUUCAGUGUCGGUAUUAAUUGCCAAUAUUCGUAGCCAAAUGGGGUACAUGCUAUCUUACCGCAAUGCUUGGAUAGCUAAGCAGAAGGCAUUGGAGAAGAUGCAUAGUGGGUGGGACGCUUCAUAUAAUGAAAUAUGACAAUGGUGUCAAGUGCUAGAGAGAUACGUCACAGGUUGCAUAAUAGACCUUCAAAUGGAACAUGCGUACUACAAUGACCGAUUGCUACCUGGAUGCCAAGUGUUCAAAUGCUUGUUUUGGACCUUUAAGCAAUACCGAGAUGUAUUUCCAUACUGCAAGCCAUUGGUACAAAUUGGCGGUACCUUUAUGUUUGGUAGAUAUACCCAUCGGCUAUUGGUAGUAGUGGCACAGGAUGGCAGUGGGAGAAUUCUUCCACUUGCGUUUGCAAUAACACCGGGGGAGUCAGCUGAUGACUGAGAUUUCUUUCUAUCUAGGUUAAGGAGGCAUGUGUGCCCCCAACCUGAUAUCUGUGUUAUUUCAGAUCGAGGCACCGGCAUACUAGCUGCAAUUGAUCGACAGGAAAGCUUAUGGCAGCGCACACACCAUCGGUAUUGCCUAAGGCACGUUGCUUCCAACUACUACAGGCAAUAUCCAUCCAAGAGUGAACAACGACAAGUGACCAACAUCGGUAUUUAGUCUCUAUUAAUAUAAUUUCGUUUGUCAUUUUAGAUUUAUUCUAAUUAAAAAAGUGGUAUGUAAUAUUCGCUAUGAACUUAUAUUGGUAGGGUAUGAAAUAAAUAAAGAUCGUUUUCAUGAGAUGUUGGCAGUUUUGCGUUCAAUUAAUGGCGAAGGCGCGGACUACCUUUGUAACAUACCUUUCGAACAGUGGGCACAAGCAUACGACGGCGGCCUACUAUAUGGUCAUAUGACCUCAAACCUGGCUGAAUGCAUAAAUUCUAUUCUAAAAGGAACGCGCCAUCUACCGAUAACAUCGAUAGUGCGAGAGACAAAUUUUUGUUUGGCGGUGCUAUCUCCAAAGCGAGCAGCGAGUUAUGCAGGUCAAAUGCAGGGAGGCCAUGUAUGGUGCAGUAAGGUAGUACAAGAAAUUAACAAGUCUAAGGCACAGGAGAACACCAUGCACACAGUGUGUCACGAUCGAGACAACUUAUUGUUUCACAUGACAGAGUUUGACAGAUCGCACCAAGGUGUUAUUGGCGGGCAAUAUCGUGUACACUUGCGAAAUAGGACUUGCGACUAGGGGAUGUUUGACGCACUUCAUUAUCCAUGUGCUCAUGUAAUUGCAACUUGUCAGAAUCUCCGUCUGGAUCCGAUGAGCUAUGUCGACGAAGUGUACAAAUUAGAAAACAUGUACAACGUCUGGAGACACGUAUUCCCACCGGUCCCAGAUGAAUGUAAGUGGCCAUCUGUAUCGCUUGCUCCCUUUAAGCUGUUACCGAUAGAGAAUUACAUCGCAAACCAAAGGGUCGACCUUGCUCGACUAGAAUACGUAACAAUAUGGAUAUCCGAGAAACAGCCAGUCAACAGAAAUUGUGCGGAUGGUGUAGGAACCGAGGCCAUACAAGCCGAUCAUGCCCAAAUCACAAUAGUUGAACGUUAUUGUAAAAAACUUUGUAUUAUUUAUAUUUUUUUAAAUCAAAAAUUGGUACAAAUAUUUAGAAUAUUGACUUAUUUAAAAGAAAAUUUAUUUUACUAAAAAUAUUAAAGUAAAUUGCAAUUACUUUAUUCAAAACAACGUUUUAUUUUAUUAAAUGAAAUAAUAUAGAAAUAUUCAACAUAAUACAAUAUGUAAAAGAAUUUCUAUUAUAUUAAAAAUGUAUAAAUAAAUUUCUAUUUUAGUAUAUGAGAUAAUAUAGAAGAAUUUCUAUUUUAUUACAUCAAAUAAUAUCAAAAUAGUCAAAAUGUUUGUAUAAUUAAAAAUCAAUCUCCGUGCCCGCCGGAUUCAGUGCCACAUGGCAGUCGUCGACAGUUACGCGCUGGAUUCCUCCUUUGUCCAGCUUCUAGCAGGGGUUGUGGUUGCUCCGCCGGGGAUUCUGGUUCCUCCGGUAGGGGAUCUGGUUGUCAGUGUUAGGACAAUGAACCACCUUGAUAGAAUAGUGAAUGUGGAGGUGUUUGCAUCACCAACGGCGAAACUGUUUGAAACCCAUACGGUAAUGGGGUUUGGUAAAAAAAAGAGCUCCCCAACAGCCCCUCUUGUGAUCCCUCGUGCGACGCUGGCCUAUACAUCGGUGGUCUACUCGGCGUAAUCAAAAAUGGAGAUGAACCGGGCCAUUGACUUCAACUUGCCAUAGGACUAGAAAAAGGAAACAUAUAAGGGUUAGGAUACAUAAAAGGGCUAGGAUACGCACCUGGCAUCAUAUGAAAAGGCUGUGUCGCGAGUAUCGUCGGUUGAACUGCUUGGUCGGAUGACUGUGUCGGUGCUGUUGCUGGGCUUGGUGAUUGUAUGGGCGUUAAUGAUGGGCCGGGUAAAUGUCUGGGACUCGUUGAUGGGCUUGCGUCGUCGUCCCUUCUUCUUGGAUUUAAAGGUCCACGUCGUUCCCUUUGGACACGCAAUUGCCGCUGCCUCUCCUCUGCCGACAGUAAAUACAACUUGUCAUGGAUCCUAAACCAUGGCAUGUAUUUCGGCACGCACGCUAACUUUGAAACGAUAAUUGGUUCCCGAGUUGGUAUAUAAUCAUACCGAUCUUCCCAUAUUUGGAUGUAGUAUGACCAAAAUCUCGGCCAUUCCGUAUGCAAUUGACGUAGGUCGAUUUUGUGAUGGUCAUCCCACACCUCAGGUGCCACGGGAAUCGAUUUUCAGAAUCCAAAUUGCCGUAAUACUCUGUCCGACUGGUGCAUCUCCACAGUCGCAAAGUUGACCAAUCGGACUUUUACAUGCCAAGCGUUUGGAUUUUGGAAGUACUCAUCCGGAAUUACUGCCCGAAUUGACAGAUCCUCGUAUGGUGUCCAUUGAAACUAUAUGACCAUGAUGGAAAUAUUAGUUAUAUACUAAAUACGAGUUAUACCAAUCGACUAUCUCAUGAUGAUUUGUGCUUCCGACCGUUGGUCCAAUAGAAGCCGUAUAUAUUCAAGAAAGGUAGGUAAUCGAGCAUUACUUGCCGGAUGGUUCCACCUAAUUAAAUAAUUUUUUAGCAUUCGAUUAUAUUUUAAAUCUACGUAAUAAUUGUAAAAUCUAAUAUAAAAUUUACCUCAUUAUGAGUGGGAAUGUAUACGGAUGGUCCACUUGAGGACGUAAAAAUAGAAAGCGAAAUUGUGCCCAUGACUGCAGUAGUGACAAACAACCUCCGAUUUUCGCUUUAUUCGGUCGCGUCGCCCCGUACAUCUCCCUGUACAAUGUUGCCAACACAGCAGACCCCCAACUAAAUUCACUAGCUGCUCGAAAAUCAACGAGUUUCAGCAGCUAUCUUAGAUGUACGAGGUUCUGUGACAAGUCCGGCAUCAGAUAACCUGCAAUUAUCUGAAGAAUAUAUGCCCGAGCAUAUCAGAUUCUUUCUAGUUCGGUUGAAUCAUCGUCCGAAUUUGGGAAUGUGUCUCGUAACCAGCCCAUCUCGAUCUGACCUCCGUUAAUAUUCUCCGGAAUAGCGCCCAAAAGCUCGUAGCAUACCGCUCCCCAAUCACCAGAUUGAACGGACCCGGUGACUGCGUACCCGUCCAUCGGCAAUCCCAAUUGCAAAUUGACAUCUUCCAAAGUGAUAGUGCACUCUCCACAUGGAAGAUGAAAUGUGUGCGUCUCGGGUCUCCACCUCUCAAUCAACACACUGAUAAGUUUCGGGUCCAACUUGUAUCCCCAGCCUAUCGUCACCACGUGCCAAAAACCCGCCUCCCGCAGGUAAUUUUCUACCAACGGUGAUGGAGGACCAUGCAUAUUACGGAUAUAACAUUGCAAUAUCCGAUCUACAGACUUUUAUAACAAAUAAUAAAAUAAUAAUUAUUUAAAAUUGCAUAAAUAAAAAAAUCUUAAAUAAUAUUUAAAAAUUAAAUUUAACACUUACCAUUUUCAUUUGUUCGACGGAUAUAUGCUUGUCAUCAAGACGAAUCAAUUCUCCGGCCAUUGCUAAAUUGGUACAAAUUUUUACGAUUUAAAAAAAUUCAAAAAAAUAAAAUUUAAAACUUUUUUAAAAAUAAUUAAAAAAAUUAAAGCUCUUUUAAAUAGAAAUCUGAGAGAAAUUUGAGAGGAAUUUGAGAGAAAAUUGAGAGGAAUUUGAGAGAAUAUUAGAGAGAAAUUGAGAGAAAGGAUUUAGUUGUGAAAAAAAAUGAAGGGGGUUUUUAUAGUUUAUUUUUUGACCAUUGGAGGGUCACCAACGGUCAAAAAAGUAGCUGUUGCUACUGUUCACGCGCGGACAAACGCGUCCCCAAGGGAGCGCUUACGUGGCAGGAAAACGCACCCUUGAGGGAGCGAUUUCUGUCCACGUAGGCAAAACACUUUCUCAGAGACGCGUUUUUCUGCCACAUCCCCUGAUAUCGCGCUGACGUAGACGCGCUUUCGGGGAAUUGGACCAUUCCGGUAAAUAAUUAUCUACCGGGCCCAUUUCGAUAAAUUUUAAAAAAAAAAUUAUAUGUAAUUUGCCCGAAAACAACUAUCUCAAUUAAGUUUUAAUUUUGUUUAUUUAUUGUUAAGAGUUACUAAUGAUGUAUAAAAAAAACAAGAACAAAACACUGAAACCCACAACUAAAACGAUAUCUGUUGCAGAAGUGAAGAGUAAAUAUUUGUUCAAAAAAAGUGAUAUAAAGUUAAGCAUUGUACAGCAGAUAAAAGUGCUUUACUUUAUAACCCCAUCUGCAUUGCAAUUUGCAGGUCCAAAAAGAAAGCAUUUAUGCCCUUUGAAUUUUGACCUUCUUUUUUCUAAAGAGAUCAAAUCAAUGGUGGUUUCGUCUUGAUGGUAGGUUAAGAUUAGGCCCCACUCAUGAAACUAAGGGCCCAGAUUCAAACUUUGUAACUAAAGUGGGUGAAUGAGAGCUGAGUAGCUCUGCAGACACGGGGGAAGGGAACUCAACCCCAGACUUCCCCCCCCCCCUUCACUUUGUAAGCAAAGUUAAUGAAAAAUUAGAUCUUUUUUUUUUUUCAGUUCUAUAAAAAUCCUUGACUUUCCCAUAAAGAGGAAGGGAAGCAAUGAACGUGAGCCGUCCGGCGGUUCACCCGGUGGAGGCUCCACCGAUGACGGAGGCGGCGGUCCACGGUCCUAGAGUAAGGAUGAAGGACAUCCAAGGCAUGCCUGGGACUAAAGGUGGCCUCUUUCUUCGUCUUUCUCAGUUCAUUUUCUCCAUCAUUUCUGUCUCUGUCAUGGCCACCACCAAUGACUUCCGCUCUGCCACAGCUUUUUGGUGAUUACCCCCUUUUUCAUUUCAUUUCAUUUCCUUUCCUUUUCUUUUUUUAUUUAUGUUUCAAUCUUUAUACAAACACCCAAUAGAUUGUAAACUUUAGCUAUUGAAAUGACAUCCAAUUUGUUGGUCUCGAUCAUCACCAUCCACCAAACUAUUCUAAUUUUUGUUUGAGUUUUAAAAUCGACUACAAGCUUCUUUCAAGUUCUUCUUUAGAACUCGCAUCUUUCAACCUGACAUGUGGGGAAACGGUUUCUAUGUUUAUACGACAUUUUAUAUAAUAAAUGCAUUUGAGAUAUGUCAAGACUUCGAUGAAGGAAUGCCUCUUUUUCUUUUUUUUUUCCUUGUAAUUGAAUUAAACUGUUCUGAGCAUAUAGUGUUAUAUGAUGAGCUCGGCUCGAGUGAUCUAUGUUACUGGGGAGUGACGAGUGAGUAUCAGAUACGGGUACGGGUACUUUGAAUAUUGAAGUUUUUUCGAGGACUCUUGGAGGGUUAUAUAUGCUCUUACCAUGUCCGAAUAUGCGUUGGACAUGGUCGAAGUUGCAUAGGGAAACAUACUAUUUGGCCCUACAGAAUUGAAAACAACAUUUAUCUGUUCACAAGCUACAUUAAAGUGGUUCCAUAUUUUCUUUAAUAGUGUGUUAAACUAUCCUACGAAUGUUUGUCUCCGGCAGAGGAUAGCUUCUCUUUGGUGAUAGGAACCCUGAAUUUCUAGUUCCAUAUCAGUUAUUUGCUUUCAUGGGUGUAUGUUUAGUUUCAGUUUAUCGGUGUAAGGUUUUAAAUUCACCUAUGUGUAAAAUUGCAACAAGCCCAAGCGAGUUUUUUGUUUUAUAAGCCGAGAUUAUGAAACAGUUUCAACAGUGUUUGUCUUUUUAGACAUAUGAUGAUGGUGAUGAUGAUGAUGACUUCAUGGGUUUCAUCUUAAUGGUAACAUGAAUGUUUCAUUGUUUUCAUUGCAUCAGUUACCUAGUUCUUGCUGUUGGCCUGCAAAGUUUGUGGAGCCUGUCCUUGGCAUUCGUUGACAUGUACGCCCUUUUGGUUAAACGAAGCCUGCGAAACUACAUAGCAAUCCGUUUGUUCACCAUUGGUGAUGGGGUAAGAGACUCUUGAUCAAGCGUAAAAACUAUGCUGCAAGGCUUAUCAUAGAUCACUUUUUGUUUGCCAUUUAUUUAUUGCUUCAACUAUAGGAAACUUGUACAGUUCUUGUUGUUCCAUCCUUUCAUAAAUUUAUACCUAAAGUUGAGUUCCAAUUGAUGGGAGAUAUAAUUAGGUUCCCUUAGCUAAUGUGUGACUGACGCAUCUUUCGACAGUGAGCAUGCGGGUUGAUCUUAUUCAUAUAAAAAACUUGGUUCAGUUUUUUAGGUUUGAAAUUAUAACAACUGAUGCAGAUCAUAGUCAUUCAUUCUUUUCUUCUUUUUUUCCAGUCUUCCGUCCAUACGGUAGUCUUAUAAAGAGAAGAAAGGAUGUAAUACUUUAAAUCGUUAAAGAAAUAGGCUUAUUUGCUAGUCCCCUGAAAACUGUAACUUAGACCUUGCUGAUGUAGUAGAUUUCACUAACCGCUGGCUAUUCUGAUUUUGCAAAUGAACUUUCCAGAUAGUUUGGAAAAAAAAAAAAAGAAGAAGAAGAAAAUUCUAAGCUUUGGUGAAUAGAGGUGUUAAAAAUGGAGUAUGACAUUAUUUAUCGCAUGCCAUUGCACUCUCUGUGGACUGUGGGGAUGUUUCGCUGUUGCCUUGAAUGGGAUGUAAGAUUUACUUCAUUUGGUAGUUGAAUUAAAAUGGUGACAUUUCGGUGCAGAUCACUUCGACACUUACAUUCGCCGCUGCAUCUGCAUCAGCUGGCAUAACAGUCUUGAUUGACAAUGAUCUUGAUAAAUGUAGUGUGAAUCACUGCACUAAGUUCGAAACAGCUACAGCAAUGGCCUUCAUCAGCUGGUUUGCAAUGUCACCAUCCUUUCUGUUGAACUUCUGGUCAUUGGCUUCCCACAGAUAAUUGUGUUGCACUUCUGCUGUAAGCCUUUUGCAGACUUUCCAAUCUGCUGUAUUGUUGAUUACACCAACUCUGUAUAUAUAUUUUUUGCUAGGCUUCCAAUACUUGUAUCUUUGAGGGAACAGGUAUUUAAAUUAUAAGUUACUUCCUUUCCCUCUAUUCGCUCAAUCCCUAACACUUGUUGGCUACUGAUCAUGGAUUUUCAAUGAUAAUGAUUAUUGAACUUCAAGCUUAGUCCUUUGUACCGAAUUCUUCUGAAGAAAUUAAGUAUCUGAAUUGAAAUCAAAAUUUCAUGAACUACAGUAAGGUAACAGAGGACUGCUCCAACUCCAAUGUAAUAUUCAAACAGUUUUAUCAUAUCAGUUCAAUGGCGGCAGGCAUGGGAAGUAGUUACAGUUAGUAAUAGAGCAUCAACAAGCUGUAAGAAACUAAUCCCAGUCUCCACCCACCAUCCAAGGAAAGAGAAUUCCUAGUCAUCAAACACCUAUUGGCUAUUACAUGAAAAUUGAGGCCUAAAUUAUGCGUAGGGAGAGAACAACUUAAAAAGUUCCAUCACCAGACUUGAAUAACUCGAGAAGCCGCAGAUGCCGAACCAAUUAGUUGCAAGCACAGGAGUCAGGUGAAGUUGUGCUCAACCCAAAUAUGAGCGAAGUUUUGUAAGUUUGUCUACUAUGUGUGACACCUCCGUUUCUCUGCCUCAAGCUCAUUUUUUAACGUUUCCACUUGCUUGAGUAAAGCAGCAUUUUCCUGAUAAUAUAGCAAAUAUUAAUAACUGAAGGCAUAUUUGAGGCAUUCUUAAUUUUGCGCAGCAAAUCCAUUUUUUAAGCACUGUACCAAUAUCGAUUGCAGUUUCACAAAGUUUUCAAUGAUUCCUUACUGAUAAGGAAGUCUGUCUCACUUUCAUUUUAGUUAACGACCGGAUAGGAAAAUCAUGAUCGAAUGGCUUAGUUCUAGCAUUUCCAUUGAAGAAGAAUACAAAGAAUGACAAAUAAAACAUACAGGAUAGUGGUCAUAAGAACAAAAGAACAAGAAAGAAACAACUUUCAGUAGUGUACAAGUUACCUUUUGCAGCAGCAUCAGUUUUUCCUCAAAGCCAGUGGAAUCUCCCUUCUUUCCAAUAGACUCUUUGAUCUGUGAAAAGGACACAUAAUUUAUCCGUUAUGAGAUCUGAAAAGCUCAAAUAAAGGAUUAACAUGAUAGAAAUGAAAAAGGUUUCUUUCUUCCAGCAUGCAUGUAAAACUUGAAACUCACCUCUACAAGAAACUUGCUAAGCAGAAAUGGUGUAACCUCUAACAAUAUGUUGGUUCAAAAAGCAUAUUAUUUUCUUUUUUUCCUAUUCAGUGUCUGAUUUACUUACUGAUUUUUAGUUAGUCCUUAUGAACAUAAAGUACUGAGAAGUACUGACCAAUUUGUCGUGCAGAACAACAUAAAUAAUACAAGAGGGUUAAAAGGCAAUAUACCAGGUCAGGCAAAUUAUUCCAGGAACAAGUCUGAAAUUAUUCGUAACAAGUAAAUAGUACCAGUAUGAAUGAUUAUUACACAAAAUUUCUAUUAAAGGCAGGAAUCGUGUAGGAAACAAACUCCAAAUUAUAGCUUUUUAAUAAAAUAGAAUUCUGCAGAAUGUCAUUAAGAAUUUGCUUGAAAAAUCCUUAUAAAUACUAGGCAGAUAAGGGAUUCUCCAGUCUCAUAUAUUAGUCACUGACUCAUGACUGAAAGUAAUAAGCUCAGAAUUUCAGCUUUUUAAGGAGGAAUCUGAACUCAUGAAGGCAAGAUAAAUCCCUGCAGUUUCGUAUAUGAAUUUAAAUUGCACUACUUAAUUAGCUCUAAAUUUGGGCUUUUUAAGCCAUCUAGUUUACAAGAUCAACUACAUUGUCUUAUUGAAAAUCUAUUCCAGUAGUUUUCUAUCAAUCCUAAAUUUUUCCCAUAAAAAACUAUGAAAUAGAAAUAAAUUUUCGAUCUUCCAAAUUGACUAAAAACCAAGAAUAGCAAUUCUAUUAAAAAAGGAUCCAAGAGAAGCAAUGCUAAACCCUAAAUCACUUACGAUCCAAAAAAAUAAAUAAGAAAAUGAAAAUGGCAACAAGCAAGCGGCAAACCUCGUCUAGUUCCUUGGCACACUUGGAAGCCUUGUCUGCCUCUUCAUCAAAUCUCAGCCUCCACUCUGCAGAUUCAUCCAUUGCCUCUUUGUUUGCAAGAUCAAACUGUCUCCUUCUCUCAAAGACAUUAACAAAAUAAAAUAAAAUAAAAAUCAUUUUAAUUACAAAUGAAGCAGAAAAUUGAAAACCCGUAAUUCAAAUCAAGCUAAUUUUAAUCAAAACCCAAAAUAAUAAUAAUAAUAAUAAUAAUAAUAAUAAUAAUAAUAACCUUAGCAACUCGGCAUCAUCAGAAGAGAUAGAGUAAUGAAUAGCCCAAAGCCUGAAAUACACUGCUACUCCUAAAAACAUAGCCACCGCUAAUCCCACCAAUAUUCUCCUUCUCCCUCUUCUCACCAUUUUUUUUUCCAGAUUUUCUUUUUUCUUGUAGUUGGACUGUUAAUUUAUUGAUUGAAUGGAUUCAGUGUUAGCAGAAUUUUACGUUUCCAAGCCUUUUGAAUGGGUUGUUUGGUUUGUUGAUGCCGGGGUUACGAUGUCUGUCUAUUUGGACGACUCUUUUCUUUUGACACAACGUAUUACCUUUUCACUUGCCCAUUGCACUUAAUUUUGGGAGAAAACACACAAUUGUAAAAAUUAAAAUAUGGUAUUAGUUAUUGUAAUUUAAUAAAAUUUGAGAUUUAGCCUAAAAAUUAAGUUUUUUUAUUUUUUAUUUAAAAAUUUCAGUUCUUUAUUGAAACCGUAAAAUCAUGUUUGAUUGGAUGUAAUAACUCAUGCAUUCCAACUCUAUUUAAUGGGCCCACCAUAAAUAAUUGUUUGGUUUGUUGUAAUAGCCCAUUAUGGGCCGAAUGGAAUAAGCCUCUAUUACGGUAUGGCCUGUAAUAGUAAUUCAAAGGUUUGGACUCUGAAUUGGCUAUUCAAUACCACCUGUAAUUACAAUUUUUCCUUUUUGGACCAAAAUAUUUUGGCCUCUCAACUACAUCAUUUUCACUCUUCACUUUAGACCAUUUCAUUCUUCCUCGACUUUUCCCCUCAAAGUGGACCCUAAAAAUUAGCUUCUUAAUUGACGAAAAAUCAAGCAUUCAUUCGCCAUCGUCAUCUUCCUUCCAGUUAAACCUCUUUAUUUAUGGUAAGUGAUGGUCUAAUUUGGACAUUUAGAAGUACAAAACUAACUUGAAUAAGCAUAACCAGUGUCAUUCUUUUGUUUCUUUUGCUUCCCUUUUCUUAUGCUCCGCCCUGAAAUUUGUUUUUGCCUCAACAAAAUCUCUCAUUUUCUUUUUAUUUCUUAUAAAGUUAUAUUUUAUUUAUUUUUUCCUUAAAUUAUAUUUUGUUGAGAUCGCAUAUCCUUCAGUUUAUUAACAACAAUGAAUCUUCAAUUAAUCAAUUACAGAAGAAGCAAAAAGAACGAAAAGGAUUAAAAAAAACCUUUGAUAGGAAGAAAAGGGACGAUUAGAUGAGCAGAGUUAGUAGCUAUGAAAUGAGAAAGCGUCAUUGAAAAUACGUUUGGCCUAUAUCCAAUCGUACUACAACUCUUGUGUAUGAACGCCAAUUCCUAUUUCAAAAAUUGUUUUUUUUUGAUAAAUUCAUUUGUAAUUUGACAAUGAAAACGAUGAUUAUUGAGAUUGAAAAUUUGGAUUCUAACCUUGCAUUCAUCUUCUGUGAGGAAAUUGUAUAAAAUUAAGUUAAGAUGCUCUUUCUCCAUCUUUAUGUUUGCCAUUUUUCUUUUGCUUGUUUGAAGUCCAAUAUUGAGAUUUUUUUAGCUCUGUUUAAUUAUUGUUGUUUGAAUUAUUAUUUUUUUGAGGGGGCGUGUUGCAUUUAUUUUGAUCUGAGUUUGCUUUUAUUUUGCAGGUAAGCUUGAUUGUGUGCUUUGAAGAUAUAAUUUUGCUCUGUAAUUUCUACAAUUUCUGUAAGUUGAUCAUCAGGACGUAUUGAAUUCUUGUGGUUUGUAAUUUGUGCAAGGAUUUUUUUUUUUCUUUUUAGCUUUGCAUUGUGUGCUUUAAAGAUAUAAUUUUGCUACUUAUGGUCAAUCUUGUUAUAAAGAUUGGAUAUUGUAAUGAAUUCUAGGGUAGUUAGGGGUAUUUGGCUAGAGUAAGAGAGUGACUAAGACCACAUUUAAGAGUUGCUUAGAAAUGAUGUUCAACACAAUUAUGGGGAUUUUGUUGCCCAUUAUGUUAUGAAAUUGAAUAGGACAAGUUACUGCUUAAAUAUAUGCAUCACAUUCUUGUGUUGCUUAAUUCUCAUUCUUUAUUCAUAAUUUAAAUUUAUGCAUCACAUUAUGUUUUGAGAUUAAUUUAUACUAUGAUUUGAAGAUAUGUAACACUUUAAUAUCUUGCAAUAAUGACUCGUUUGCCUUUAAUACUACAAAGCGAGAGGCAAAAAAAGAAUUGGUCUUGCAUUAACAGUAUGGUUGCAAAUGUGUACAGUUGUGAGUUGGUUCUUAGUUAUGUUAGGUGUCGUCUCUAGCCUACAAACUUAUAGACCUAUGAUUAGAUCAUACAUUUUAUAUUUUUAUGCUCAAAAAGAUUAUGUGAAGCGACUUGUACAUGCUACUGAUAAGACCUGUAUUGAACAAGUUAAGAUGAAUAGAUUUGCUUCUUCCUUUUCUUUUUUUAAAUUAUGUGAAUAGAUCAUUUCGUAAUUUAUUAAACGGUGUGAUACGCUUAUAAAAUGUGUUAGUUAUCUAAAAAGCUAGAGCCAGUUCUAGCUAAUUUUACAUACAUAAAGAUGAAAUGGUUCAAGGUAUUGGAGUGGGUAUAUAUAUUAUUUAGAAAUAACUCAAUUGAUUUAGAUUUCAAUAAAGUAUCCUAACUUGACCUUUUAAUUUAUCUAUAGAAUUGCUUAGGUGUUUUAGAUGGAACCUAUAUCAAGAUUAGGGUUCCAUCAGUUGAUAAAUCUAGAUAUCGAACUCGAAAAGGUUACAUAUCAACAAAUAUGUUAGGUAUUUGUACACCUAAUAUGAAAUUUGUUUAUGUUCUUCUUGGUAGGGAAGGUUCUGUUGUUGAUGGAUGAGUUCUUCAAGAUGUCAUUACUAGGAGAAUGGACUAAAAGUUCCUCUGGUAAAGUAUAGAUAUGGAGGAAAUUGAUUUAUUUUUUAGAUCAUAAUAAUAUUGAAAACAAUGGAUUGAUAAAUAGUGUUUUCAUAAUAUAGAUUGUUAGUAUCUAGUUGAUGUUGGUUACACAAAUUGUGAAUAAUUUCUUGCACCCUUUAGGGGAUAAAGAUAUCAGUUGAACGAAUAGCGCCAAGGUUACCAACCAAGUACUCCAAAAGAAUUUUUUAAUACGAAACAUGCAUCAACGCACAACGUUAUUGAAAGAUGUUUUGGUUUAUUAAAACUUAAAUGGGGUAUUGUAACAACCCAUUUUUCAGUGGUGUCGGAAAUAGUAGUUUUAGGGCCACAAAUUCAACGAGUAAGUUCGUAAAUAUUAUUAUUUAAUAUUUACGAGUCAAAUAUGGUUUUAAAAAGGUUUUCGAUUUGAUAAUUUAUGUUGUAAGUGAUUUAUUAAGUUCAAGUGGUAAGACCCUAAUGUCAAAUGGUUCUAAAAAAUGAGGUAUCGAGACCUCAUUUCUAUAAACCAAGCCAUAAAAAUAUUUAUGAAGUGUCAUUAAAGUGGUAUUAAAGUUCCGUUGAAAAUUUUUAAAGUUUCAAUGGUUAAUUAAUUAAAAAGGAUUAAAUUGUAAAAGAUGUAAAAUUUGAUCACUUUUUUAUUUGAGUGAUUAAAUGGCUUAACGAAUGAAAGUAUAUGGACCAAUAUGGUAAAUAUACCAUGUUAUAAAUGAGUGGACGAUUAAAGCAUGAAAUAAGUUAAAAAUGCAUGUAUAAUUGAAAGGUAAAUUAGUAAUUUAAUAAAGAAAUAAUUAGAAAAAAAUAAGAUAAAAAUUGAUUGUCAUCUUCCAAAUUGAAACUCCACUGAAUUUGAAAGUAGAAAACUCCGUAGAAGAUGAGCAAGGUUCGGCAAUGGCUUUUUCUAUGCAUGGUAAGCCAUUUUUCACCAGUUUUUUUAAAUUUUUAUAAUUUUGAUAUCGUUGCAACUAAGUCCAGCUAGCUCUUACUUUCAAUUUUGAAACUGUUAAAGAUUUUGAAUGUUUUCGUUGAUGAAACUUGUGAUUUUAGAUCUUAAAAGUAUUUUAUUAAGUGAUUUUUUUAUGAAUUUACCGGUUAGGGACUAAAUUGUAACACCCCAAACUCGCCCUGGACAUUAUGGCCGAAUUUGACGAUGUCACAUGGUAGUGUGUUUGAAAACUGUAGCUUGUGUUGGGAAAUUGUAACUUUGCUAAAUACAUUUUCCGUUUAGAGUUCUUGCAUUAUUAUUUAUUAAUUCUAAUAUCGUGUUAAUUAAUCAUUCGAAAGCUUUCAAAACGUUUAAUCUAUGCUGAAGCUUUUUAAAACAGAUUGCAUAAUCGUGAGUAUUUUGUUAAAACGUUUGGUUUUUUUGAAAACUCGAGAUUUCCUAAAACUAGUAGUUAUAAAUUGAAAAUCUCAAAUUUAAGAAAAAUCCUUAGAGGCCAUAUUUACAAUAAAAUUCCCAAAUAAAAUUUAAAAUCAUAAUUCAGUACGAAACAGAGUUAAAUAAGGUUGUGUGGCCACCGCUGAGUCCUCCGCCGCACCGAUCCGCCCAAUCCUAGGGAUUACUUGUACAGAUAAAUCAGAAGUGUGAGUUUACAAAAACUCAGUGUGUAAUUCUUUAUAUAGAACAAGCAGACAUAACGCAGUCACAGUCUCGGUUUAAGCCCUUUCGGUACCAGAUUCAGUUUCAGUUUGGGCUUUAGCCAUUUCAGCACAGAAGUAGUCAUGCAUUAGGGCAUUGGCUCAUUACAGUAUCAGUAAUCAGUACAGUACCAGAUAUACAGUCACAAAAUCCUACCCAGCCAACCACUACACACCAUCUCCGUCUAACCCUACACUCCAUGUGGGGAUAUAAUCAACCUACCCAUCUCUACAGUCCAAAAAGUACCACAUGCGGCACUAAAUAGUGGUUUUCAGCUGAGCUACCAGUAAAUUAGGCUCGAGGCCUUUCAGUACACUUCCUCCGAAUAAUAUAAUUCCCAACCCAAUAUAAUGCAAUAUACAAAAAUGACAUGCUAUACAUAAUAUCAUGCAUGUAAACUAGCAUACAGUAUCAAAUCAUUGGGACAUCAUCAUGCUUAAUCACAUAAGUCAUACAGUCAUUUUAGUCAAUUAGGGGUCUAGGUAAGCUUACCAACCCUACAGUAGAUCCACAGUCGAAUUGGGCGACCCGUGCAACCUUAGCAAUUAGACAGUGAAAAUGGGCCUACAAGCCCAUGAUGUUCGCCCGUGUAGAUCACAUGGCCUGGCCUAAAAAUACCACACGCCCAUGUGGCCCACACGGCCCAAUUCGAUUUGGCCCAUGUAUCGCACGCGGCCAACCUCGUCGAUCACAUACUCAUGUUCGAUCACACGGCUUACCACACAGACGGCCACACGCCCGUAUGGCGUCGAAAGCCUCAGUUUUUGACUUUUCACUGUUUUCUGUUUACACUGUUACGGUUACACACCUACUUCAAUUUUGACGUCCAAAAAGUUCCGAGCACACCUAUAACUUAUAUCAAGUAGUAGGAAUUCCCCGUCUUCAGAACGUUGGCGAGCGAUAAACAGCCCUUCGAUAAACCUCUAAACCAAAAGAAUCCAUAUUAACACUUACCCAAAUCCUAGUUUAAAGUUAAUCAAAACUAAACUUACCGGAAACACGAAGAGAAUGAUGCGCAGAAAUAAAAAGGAUCGAAAAAGGGAAAAGUAAGAAGGCGAAGGUUCGACUAAGGAAAGAAUAGGGAAACAUUAAGAGACUCUUAGUAAGAAGGGAAGAAAUCGAAAGUUGAGAAGAAAACCAAUACCACCUUAUUUCACUUACCGAACAAACGGAAACAAGGUUGCCUCAAACGAACGAUUGAAGCUAGGAAAAAUAAAAAGAAACGCCAAGGGUGGGGGAGAGAAGCAGAAUUUGGCGGCAAUGGGAGGAAUUGAGGAAUGAAAACGGUAGAGACGGGGAAAGAAAUUGUCAGGAAGAUGGAGAGAAAACUGACUCUCUCUUUUUUCAAAAAGAAAAGAAAAUGAUUAGAUUUUGGAUAUUUUCCCCAUAAACCCUUAAUUUCCUCCCACUUAUCCCUAAAUUCACUCCCACACUUCCCCACGCCCUUUAAACACUCCUUAACCAUCCACUACUUCCCUACACACCUCAAACACUCAGUAUUUUACCACACCUCAAACUCCUACACUAUACAAGCAGCAAAAAUAAAUCUCAUUUGUACAAUAAGGGGUUCGAACUUCAGACCUCUUGCUCCUUAGCUCUCCACUUAACCACCAGACUAGUAGGCCCAUUCUAAAAUUUUUUACCAACAUUUAAUUAUAAGCCUACUGACUAGUGAUAAGGCUUGUUUAGAAAAAUACAAAAAGUUUCUUAAGACAAGGCGUGAACUUAAGACUUGACACACACACCUAGAGCACUGAACCACUGAAGCAGAUACACAAUUAUGUCAUAAAUACACGGAAACAAAUAUACAAACUUUGGGGUGUUACAACUCUACCCACUAAAAGAAAAUUUUAGCCUCGAAAUUUUACCUGAUCAGAACAGAUGAGGAUACUGUUGACGCAUCAUAUCCUCAGACUCCCACGUGACCUCCUCAGAACUAUGAUUACGCCAUAGAAUAUUAACCAAUGGGAUAGAUUUUCUCCUCAGAAUCUUUACGUCGCAAUCUAAUAUCUGAACCGGCUCCUUUUUGAAAGUCAGAUCUGGCUUAACCUCGAUCUCUUUAAUAGGAACAAUAUACGUGGGAUCAGAGUGGUAGCGCCUCAACAUCGAUACGUGGAAAACAUCGUGAAUUUGGUCCAACUCUGAAGGUAGCUCUAACUGGUAGGCAACCGAUCCCACUCGUUUUAGUAUGCGAUAGGGUCCAAUAAACCUAGGGCUCAACUUGCCCUUACGACCAAAUCUCAGUACCUUCUUCUAUGGCGAGACCUUAAGAAAAACGAAAUCUUCUACAGAAAACUUGAUCUCAUGACACUUCAGGUCUGCGUAAGACUUCUGUCUAUCGAACGACACUUUCGACCGGUCUCGAAUCAAUCUAACUUUAUCCUCGGUAUCAAAAACUAGUUCAGGGCCCAGAACACGUCGCUCGCCCAACUCAGUCCAACAUGAAGGUGUGUGACACCUACAACUAUAUAAUUCCUCAUAAAGUGCCAUCUGAAUGCUAGUGGCAGGUAAUCUUCCCAACUGCCUCGGAAGUCAAUGACACAGCUCUUCAACAUAUCCUUGAGUAUCUGAAUCACACUCUCAGAUUGACCAUCUAUUUGAGGAUGGAACGUAGUACUGAAGUUCAACCGUGUACCCAAAAUUUCAUGUAGUUUCUUUCAGAAUUGAGACGUGAAGCGAGGAUCCCUAGCAGAUAUGAUCGAAACUGGUACCCCAUACAGUCUCACUAUCUCAGACACAUAUAGUUUAGCUAGCUUCUGCAGCGAGUAGCCAGUACGAACCCGUAUGAAAUGGGAGGACUUGAUCAAUCGUUCCACGAUGACCCAUACAGAAUCCUUCUCAGUGGGUGUUAGAGGCAACCCACUAACGAAGUCCAUAGUCACCUGCUCCCACUUCUAAAGUGGAAUCUUAACUGGCUACAAUAACCCCGAAGGUAACUGAUGCUCAGCCUUAACCUGCUGUCAUGUCAGACAUUUACCCACAAAAUAUGUAACCUUAAACUUAAGACCUGACCACCAAUAUAACUCACGAAGGUCUUGGUACAUUUUAUUUACUUCAGGAUGCAUAGCAUAAGGGCUACUAUGUGCCUCUCUUAGUAUAGACUACCUCAACUCAGUAUCAUCCGGUACACAGAUUCUCCCACGAAAAUAGAGUACCCUUCGCUAUUUAGUCUAAAAUCUAUAGUAUUCCUACUCUCAAUUUGUUAGAAGCGAAGACCCAAAGACUUGUCCUCCCACUGUUUACCCUUAAUUUGCUCUAUCCACAUUAGUUUAACUUAGAUUUUGGCCAACAGACUACUAUCAUCAAAUAAACUGAGACGAGCGAACAUCACCCUCAGAUCAGUCACAACCCUAAGGCUUAGUGCGUUGGCCACCACAUUAGCCUUACCAGGGUGGUAUUCAAUCAUACAGUCGUAGGCCUUAAGCAACUCAAUCCAUCUACGCUGCCUAAGAUUUAGCUCCUUCUGAAUGAGGAGAUACUUGAGGCUCUUGUGAUCCCUGUAGAUGAUACACUUUUCACCAUAUAGGUAAUGCCUCCAGAUUUUCAAUGCAAACACUACUGUGGCCAACUCUAGGUCAUGCGUCAGAUAAUUCGCCUCAUGAGUCUUAAGCUGACGAGAUGCAUACGCUACCACAUUACCCUAUUACAUCAACACACAUCCUAAACUGACAUGUGAUACAUCACUGUAGGCAGUAAACUCUUUUCUAGACUCUGGCUGUACCAAAACAGGGGCCUCAGUCAGUACAGUUUUGAGCUUUUCAAAGCUCUCUUGCUGUGCAUCAGUCCAGUUAAACGGCACACCUUUACGUAGCAGUUUAGUCAAGGGUGCUGUAAUCAGUGAAAAACCCUCUGCAAAUCAUCGAUAAUACCCUGCCAGUCCAAGAAAACUGCGAAUCUCAAAUACAGUCUUAGAUUGUUUCCAAUCCAACACCGCCUCAAUCUUUCAAUGAUUGACCCUAAUCCCCUCAGCAGAAACCACAUGCCCAGAAAUGUUACUUCCUGUAACCAAAAAUAACAUUUACUGAACUUGGUGUACAGUUGUUUCUCUCGCAAGAUCUACAGAACCACUCUGAAGUGUUCAUCGUGCUCAUCCUCAGUCUUCGAGUACACCAGUAUGUCGUCAAUAAAUACCACUACGAACCGAUCUAGAUAGGACUGGGACACUCGGUUCAUCAAAUCUAUGAAAGCUGCUGGUGCAUUUUUUAGUCCAAAUGGCAUCACUAGGAACUUGUAAUAACCGUAUCGAGUCUUAAAUGUUGUCUUGUAUUCAUCGGUCUCCUUAACCCUCAACUGAUGAUAUCCUAAUCGGAGGUCAAUCUUGGAGAAAAUCGAAGCCCCUUGGAACUGGUAAAACAGAUCAUCGAUCCUCGAUAAGGGAAACUUAUUCUUGAUUGUCAACUUGUUCAAUUGUCAAUAGUCAAUACACAUACGCAUGGAGCCAUCCUUCUUUUUCACGAACAGAACUGGUGCUCUCCACGGAGACACACUAGGGCUGAUGAACCCACGAUCUAGUAACUCUUAAAUCUUACCUCUUUUGGUGCGAUUCUAUAAGGAGCGAUAGACACUGGAGCUGUACCAGGAAGGAGCUUAAUCCUGAACUCUAUUUCACGAUUCAGAGGUAACCCAAGUAGCUCUUCAGGAAAAAUGUCCAGAAAGUCCUUAACGGUCCUGAUAUCUUUAACCAAAGAAUCCCUAGAAUCUGAAACACUGAUGUAGGCCAGACACGCCUCAUAUCCCUCACGAACCAAUUUUUUCACCCUCAAAGAAGAAAUCACAUUCGAUAAGUAGUUCUAACGUUACCCAAUUACGACUACCUUGCUAUCCUCCUUAGUUCUCAGUACAACCCUUUUUGUGGCAUAAUCUAAGCUCAUUCGGUGUUUAACCAACCAGUCCAUUCCCAGUAUCAGAUCAAACUCUCCAAAAGGCAGUUCCAUCAGAUCAGGCAAAAAAUAGCCUCUUGAACCUCUAAAGAAACGUCUCUAAACAACUUAUUUACCCUUACUGAUUGUCCUAGCGGACUCAGUACAAUCACCUCACUCACAGUGCUCUCAACCAAGAUAACCAAGUUCUUAGACACAAUACAAGCUAUAUAGGAGUGAGUGGAUCCUAUAUCUAUCAGUUCAGUAUAAGGUAUAUUAUAAAUAAAGAACGUACCCGUGAUAAUGUCUAGAGUAUCUCUAUCCUAUCGGCGACAUGCAGCAUAAACUAGAGUCGGCUGCCUCGCCUCAAUAUGACCAGCACCUCUGUCCAGUGCUCUCUGACCACGACCCAACCAAUUACCACCUCUGGUUUGACCAUAGCCUCUCGGUGGUUGCUGAGCUACUCUCGGUGGUGGUGUAGUACCAGUAUCUGAAGCUUGCAUCUGAUCGGACCUCCACGGACACUCUCUAAUACGGUGCUCUAAUGAACCACAUCUCAAACAAGCCCAGUUCUUUUCCAACACUCGCCCUGAUGGUGUCUACCACAGUCAGUACACGGUGGCUAACCAAUAACAACAAUAAGAGCCCCAACUCUGAUCAGCCCAUCAACUCUGACCUUUUUUUAGGCCUCUGAAUGGAACUCGAAGGCUCCGAAUCCCUCUUACCUCUCUCUCGGUUCUAGCGCUCAGUGCACUUUACUUCCUCGGUGAUCUUUGCCUUAUCCACCAGUGCCACAAAGUCUCACUCCCUCUUUGGAGCUAUCAAAACCCUCAGAUAAUCCCUGAGGUCAUCCUUGAAGUAAACACAUCGCUCGUACUCAGUUGCCACCAAACCUCGCGUAUAGCAGCUCAACCUUAGAAAUUUGACCUCAUACUCGGCCACUGAUCUAUCUCACUGAGUCAGAUUUAAGAACUCCCUCCUACGACCAUUCACAUAACUGGCCCUCACAUAUUUCUCUUGGAAAGCAGUCUUAAAGAACUCCUAGGUCAGUCGAUCAGGCUGAGUGCCCUCCUUAAUAGUGAGCCACUACUGAUAUGCCUUAUCACGUAACAUCGAUACAACACCCUUUAAUUUCUGCUCGGGUGUGCAGUCCAGAUCGUCCAUAAUCCUCUCUAUGGCCUCUACCCAAUACUCAGCCACAUUAGGGGCAACUCCAACAAUACCCUUAAAAAGCUCAGCUCCGUUAGACCGGAGUCAUUCCGUAACCAACCAGCAGCCUCUAGCUUCAGUAUUGGUCCCAGCGACCCUCUCUAAAAUCCUCAACAUCACUUGGGAUAGUGUGUCAUCCCCAGCCGCUCGAUUAUGAGACCCAGCCUCAGCCACAGGUGAAGCCGAUGUCUCACUUGUAUCCAAAUUAUGCAGAUUACCAGAGGACGAAGACCGAGCUCGAGCACUUCUACGGCCUCUACCACGGCCUCUUGUACCCCGUCCGCGAGUACCUCUGGUACUCAUUGUCUAAUUGCAUUUUGUCUGUAUUAACAGUUUUAUGCAUCAGUUUACAGUUCCAGUGUUUAUUAACAGAUAUUUUAUAAAAACAAUAUCAGAAGUGUAAAUGUCUAUAAGUUUUACUACAGUCUCAGUAUGCACUAUUUUAAGUGUUUUUAGUACAAUCUAUCUAUAGUAGUCUCAGUAUAUACUACCUAUAGCAGUUUCAAUAUAUACUAUCAAAAAUAAUUUCAGUUUCAGUUUAGACAAUUCUUAGUUUCAGAAAACUUACUGGCUCGGCGCUGGAGACUCGAUGUACCACACUUUCAGUAAAAACAUUUAGAAAAUUAGUUUUCACAAAUCACGUUUUAAAAAUCCAUAUCCAUAGCCCAGUUUUGUAACCUGGCUUUGAUACCACUAAAUGUAACACCCCAAACCCGACCUGGAUGUUAUGGCCGAAACUGGCGAUGUCACAUGGUAGUGUGUUUGAAAACUGUAGCUUGUGUUGGGAAAUUGUAACUUUUCCAAAUACAUUUUUCGUUUAGAGUUCUUACAUUAUUAUUUAUUAAUUCUAAUAUCGUGUUAAUUACUCAUUUGAAAGCUUUCAAAACGUUUAAUCUAUGCGGAAGCUUUUUAAAAUAGAUUGCGUAAUCGUGAGUAUUUUGUUAGAACGUUUAGUUCUUUUGAAAACUUGAGAUUUUCUAAAGGGCCAAUAACCAAUAAAAGCCCAUUUAUUUUUAAAAUUACCGAAAUGGGCCAGGUCCUGAAUUAAUUACUGAAAUGGACCAUUUUCCCCAAAAACGCGUCCACGUCAGCGCGUUGUUAGGGGAUAAAGCAAGAAAACGCUUCCUCAAGGAAGCGCUUUGUCCACGUGGAUAGAAAACGCUUCUUUGAUGGCGCGCUUUGUGUCCACGUGGACAAAGCGCUUCCUUGAAGAAACACUUUCCCCUUUUUUAGGGUUUAGAGUUUUUUAUAAUUAAAGUUAGGGUUUUAGGAUUUUUGAGUUUUUAAAUUUUAGGGUUUUAGGGAAAAAAUUAAAUAAAUAAGGGUUUAGGGUUUCUUAAUUAAAUUAAUUAUAAAUUUUAAAAAAUUAGAUUAGGGUUUAGCGUUUAUGGUUUUUAAAGAAAAAAUCAAAUAAAUUAGGGUUUAAGGCUACUUGAGUAAAUUAAUUAUAAAUUUUAAAAAAAUUAGAUUAGGAUUUAGUGUUUAGGGUUUUUAAGGAAAGAAUAAAAUAAAUUAGGGAUCAGGGUUACUUGAGUAAAUUAAUUAUAAAUUUUAAAAAAAAAAGUAGAUUGAGGUUUAGUAUUUAGGGUUUUUAAGGAAAAAUCAAAUAAAGAUAGUUGUUAUUCGUUAUAUAUUUUAAACUCCUCUAAAAAAAUAAAAUAAUAAAAUUAAAUGUUUUUAAUAAAAAUUAAAUUUAUUAAAAGAAUUUUUUUAAUAAUAAAUUAAAUAUAAAAUAUAUAAUCAAUUUUUGUAUUUUCAAAUUUUAAAAUAGAAAAAGACUUUUUUUUUAUGAAAAACAGAAAAAGAGUUAAGAGUUUAUAUAUAUAUAUUAAAUCUAUCUUUUGCUAUAAUUUUAAAUUUAUAAUAAAUUAAAUAUGCAAAAAAAUACAUGAAAUUUAAUAUAAUACAAUCAUAUUAAUAAUAGAAUAUUUUUGGGAUAAUAAUUCCUUAAGGUCUUAAGAUCAUGGGUAAAAAUUUUAUUGAAUGUGAGUGAAUGAUUUAUAAAUAAGUGUUAAUAACCUUAUUUAAUGGAAUUUAACAUAAAUUUUAAUAUUUUAAUAUUUAAUAUAUAUUUUAAAUUGUAGAAGUUUAAAUUCAAAAUUCGAGAAAAAAUAUAAUAAUUGUAAUUAAUAUUUAACUAUAUUUAAAUAAAGUUAGACUUGAUAAAUAAUUUAUAAAUAAUUUAUAAUUUUUAAAAAAUUAUAAUUAAUUUAAUUAAGAAAUCUUAAACUCUAAACCCUUAUUUAUUUAUUUUUUUCCUUAAAACCCUAAAAUUUAAAAACCCAAAAACCCCCAAACCCCAACCUUAAUUGGAAAACACCCUAAACACUAAAAAAUGGGUAAGUGCUUCCUUAAGGAAGCGCUUUGUCCACGUGGACACAAAGCGCUCCCUCAAGGAAGCUUUUCUGUCCACGUGGACAAAGCGCUUCCUUGAGGAAGAUUUUUUACUUCUUUAUCCCCUGACAACGCACUGACAUGGACGCGUUUUUGGGGGAAAUGGUCCAUUUCGGUAAUUAAUUCAGGACCUGGCCCAUUUCGGUAAUUUUAAAAAUAAAUGGGCUUUUAUUAGUUAUUUUCCCUUUUUCUAAAACUAGUAGUUAUAAAUUGAAAAUCCCAAAUUCAAGAAAAAUCCUUAGAGGCCAUAUUUACAAUAAAAUUCUCAAAUAAAAUUUAAAAUCAUAAUUAAGUACGAAACAAAGUCAAAUAAGGUUGUGUGGCCACCGCUGAGUCCUUCGCCACACCGAUCCGCCCAAGCCUAGGGAUUACUUGUACAGAUAAAUCAGAAGGGUGAGUUUACGAAAACUCAGUGUGUAAUUCCCCAUAUAGAACAAGCAAACAUAACACAGUCACAGUCUAGGCUUAAGCCCUUUCGGUAUCAGAUUCAGUUUCAGUUUGGGCUUUAGCCAUUUCAGUACAGAAGCAGUCAUGCAUUAGGGCCUUGGCCCAUUACAGUAUCAUUAAUCAGUACAGUACCAGAUAUACAGUCACAAAAUCCUACCCAACCAACCUUUACACACUAUCUCCGUCCAACCUUACAUUCCGUGUGGGGAUAUAAUUAACCCACCCAUCCCUACACUCUAAAAAGUACCACAUGCGGCACUAAACAGUAGUUUGCAGCUGAGCUACUAGUAAAUUAGGCCCGAGGCCUUUCAGUACACUUCCUCCGAAUAAUAUAAUUCCCAGCCCAAUGCAAUGCAAUAUACAAAUAUGACAUGCUAUACAUAAUAUCAUGCAUGUAAAUCGGCAUACAAUAUCAAAUCAUUGGGACAUCAUCACACUUAAUCACAUCAGUCAUACAGUCAUUUCAGUCAAUUAGGGGUCUAGGUAAGCUUAUCAUCCCUACAGUAGGUCCACAGUCGACUCGGGCAACCCAUGCAACCUUAGUAAUUAAACAGUGAAAAUAGGCCUACAAGCCCAUGAUGUUCGCCCGUGUAGGUCUACAUGCCCGUGUGUCCCACAUGGCCCAAAUUGGCGUUGGCCGUGUAGAUCACAUGGUCUGGCCAAAAAAUCUCACACGCUCGUGUGGCCCACACAGCCCAAUUCAGUUUGGCCAGUGUAUCGGCCAGCCUUGUCGAUCACACGCUUGUGUUCGAUCAUACGGCCUACCACACAGACGGCCACACGUCCGUGUGGCGUCAAAAGCCUCACUUUUUGGCUUUUCACCGUUUUCCGUUUACACUAUUACGGUAGACACCUACUUUAAUUUUGACGUCCAAAAACUCUCGAGCACACCUUACCUUAUAUCGUGUAGCAGGAAUUCCCCAUCUUCAGAAUGUUGGCGAGCGAUAAACAGCCUUUCGAUAAACCCCUAAACCAAAAGAAUCCAUAUUAACACUUGCCCAAAUCCUAGUUUAAAGUUAAUUAAAACUAAACUUACCGGAAACACGAAGAGAACGAUGCACAGAAAGAGAUUAGAAAUAAAAAGGAUCAAAAAAAGAAAAGGUAGCAAGGCGAAGGUUCGACUAGGGAGAGAAUAGGGAAACGUUAAGAGACUCUCAGCAAGAAGGGAAGAAACCAAAAGUUGAGAAGAAAACCAAUACCACUUUAUUUCACUUACCGAAUAGACGGGAACAAAGUUUGCAUCAAACGAGCGAUUGAAGCCAGGAAAAACAAAAAUAAACGCCAAAGGUGGGGGAGAGAAGUAGAAUUUGGCAGCAAGAGGGGGAAUUGAGGAAUGAAAACGGUAGAGAUGGGGAAAGAAAUCGUCAGGAAGAUAGAGAGAAAACUGACUCUCUUUUUUUCAAAAAGAAAAGAAAAUGAUCAGAUUUUGGAUAUUUUCCCCACAAUCCCCUAAUAUACUCCCACUUACCCCUAAAUUCACUCCAAACUUCCCCACACCCCUUAAACACUCCUUAACCUUCCACUACUUCCCCACACACCUCAAACACUCAACAUUUUACCACACAUAAAACUCCUACACUGCACAAGCAGCAAAAAUAAAUCUCAUUCGCACAAGCAGGGGUUCAAACUUCACACCUCUUGUUCCUUAGCUCUCCACUUAACCACCAGACUAGCAGACCCAUUCUGACAUAUUUUACCAAUAUUUAAUUAUAAGCCUACUGACUAGUGAUAAGGCUUUGUUCAGAAAAAUACAAAAAUUCUCCUAAGACAAAGCUUGAACUUAAGACCUCUCACACACACCUAUACCACUUAACCACUGAAGUAGAUACACAGUUGUGUCAUAAAUACACGAAAACAAAUAUACAACCUUUGGGGCGUUACAUAAAUUGUUAAAUUAAUAAAAGUACAAGGAGUUAAUGUGAAAUUGUUGCAUAAAUGGGAUUUUUUGGAUACCAUGAACAUUCAUAUAAGCUCAAUUUUGGGUAAAAAUAGUUAAUUUGCAUGUUUUGGGCUAAGGGACUAAAUUGAAUAAAAGUAAAACUUUAGGGGUAAUUUUAUAAAAUUUCAAAAAUUUCCAAAUUGCGUGAAAUGAAUUGUUUUAUUGUAUAAAUUAAUAUAUUGAAUGAAAUUAUUAAUUUAGAUCAAGAUCCGGUGGAAAAUAGAGGAAAAUAAAAAAUUACCAAAAUACCCUUAAACUUUGGUAUUUCUGCAAUUUGGCCAGGUAAGUUCAUAUGAACUGUAUUAUGAAACGACGUAAAUCCAAUAACGCACGACGAUUAACGAGCCCCGUUUGAACCUUAGGAAUUCGUAGGAUAAAAAUGACAUGUCAAUAGGUUUUACAUGAUUCGAGUGUUGGUCCUGAACGUCUUACCGAUAGCUGAGGUCCGGCAUGUGUUGCGGAUACUCCAUAGCUUGUGUGAGCAGCAUUGUGUAGCUACGUUCUGACCCACAGCUUGUGUGAGCAGGCCCAUUUUCACAGUUCGUGUGAGCAUUAUGAUUCAUAGCUCGUGUAAACAUACAUGUACAAGAAUUGACGGGUUACAGUUAUAUGUGUUAACACACUAUGUGUGAGCUAUCUCAAGUAUCCAACGGUAUUUUAAAAGGUUGAACGGACAUUAUUCGGAUAACAAAUAGUAAGAGAAUGAUAUGUUUUAUGACAUGUACAUAUAUGAACAUCCUUGAUAUGAUGAUACAUGAAAAUUAUAUAGGUUGAGAUAAGUUAUAAACUCAUAAGAUAUAUGUUAUGGCUAAAUGGCUAUUUAUGUUAAUGUGCUUAUGAUUUAUAUCUUGUAUGCUAACAUGUUUGGUGUAAAUGCUUAGGCUUUAGCCAAGUUGUGGUUGGAUUAUGCCAUGUUAAACUUAUAAGCUAUCCAUUGAUAUGGUAAGUGUCUAAAUGGAAAUAUGCUAAUGAUCAUGAAAGAGUGGUAAGGUUUAAAUUAUGUAAUUUCUAUUGAAACGAUUAUCAUGUGGUUAAUUCCAAAAGAACUAUGUUUAAAUGCACUAGCUUGUGGCUAUGGUUGAAUGAUAUGCUUAUGUCUUGUGUGAUAUGCAUAUGAAACAGGUGUGGAAAGGUAAUGAAAUAGUAAGUUCAUACUUAAAGUGUAAAAUGAUGAAAAAGGGAAUGAUGAGUUGACUUGAUGUUGUUAUUUAAGUUAAAGAAAGCAAAUGCAAUAGAAAGUAAUGAAAUACAAAUGAAAAUAAGAAAAUUUGAAAGGGUUUAAAGUUUUAUAAAUCCUACUAUGCUAGGGAUGAUAUGUAUAUGUGAUGCUAUGAAUUUACUCACUUUGUGAGUUGUUGAAUAUGGUUUCAUGAAUCUUACUGUAUUGGUAUAGGAUUAUUUUUGAUAAGUAUAAUUUCAUAUUUGAAAUAAAUUGAUAUGACUAAAGUUUAUACGAGCUUACUAAGUAUUCAUUGCUUAUGUCGUUAUCUUUCUUUUACUUUACAAAUAAUUGAAAGCUCGAUCGGGUUGGAAGCUCGCCGGAGAUCUAUCACACUAUCUAGCGAUUAUAUUGGUAGAUUUUGAUGUCUUGGUUAAGGUUAUAAUGGCAUGUAUAGGUGGACUUAUGAUUGAUGAUUAGUUGAAUGUUAGUUGAUAAAUUUGGCAUGUAUAUGUCAUUUUGGGUGAUGUAGCCUUGGUACAUUUGGUGCCUUGUUUAUAUGUGUUAAUUUAAUAAUGUGUUAUAGCAUGUUUGAAUGACCCAAGUGAUAUAUAAUGAGUUGACCUCAAUAUGGUCAAGAUAUGGUAUGCUUUGGAAAAGUUUUGAAUGGAUGUGCAUGAUUGAAAUAUGGUUUAUAUACAUGUUAGUUGUUGGAACCAUCUGGGUAUGGUUAGAUUUGUGUCAUUUAGAUGACCUUGAUGGUUGAAGUUGAUAUGAUCAUUUGAAAUUGUGUUUUGAAUAACCAAAUUGGUAUGUUUGAAUGUAACUUUGGCAUGUGGACAAUUAUGGUAUAACUUGGUAUGAAAUUAAACCAUAUAUAUAUAUAUAUGGAUGAGUUAUGGUCAAAUAUGUAUAAGUUAUACAUAUGUAUAUUUGGGAUGCAUGAUAACUAUAUGAUGGAAGUUCAAAUAGUGGAUAAAAAUGUAUAUUAUCCUUUUGAUAUGUUUGAAUGUGGUGAAUUGGUAUAAUUGUUAUAGAUGACAUGUAUGACUAUCGGUGCUAAAUGUAAAAUGGCAUAUUUGGUACUUUUGGUGUGGAAUUUGAUAGGUAAAUAAAGUGGUAAGUUAUGACAUAAGUUUAAUUAUAAGUUAGUUGAAAUUUUGUCCAAUUUAUGUAUAUGGAUAUACAUGUUUAAUGGUUGUGAUUGAGGUGCCUUUUGGGCACAUUGGUUGCAUGUUUAUAUACCUUAAUUGGAUAGCUUGUUAUAGCAUGGUUUGGUACACUUUGGAGUGCUUGUUUAUUUAUGGAAAAUUGGUUGUAGGUGGAUGCAUGUUUGGGUGAGAAAAAUGGCUUGAAAGUAGCCUAUUUUUCAUCCACACGGGCAAAGAUACGGGCGUGUGUCUAAGCCAUGUGUGACACACGGUCGUGUGUCCCUUGUAGCUUUCAAAGGGUUGCAAGUCAAAAUGUUACACAGCCUAGCAAAUGACCUAGCACACGGGCGUGUGAGGCCAUUUCGAAGGGUAUACGACCUAGCACACGAGCGUGUGGCUUGACCGUGUGACCCAAGUCAACAAGUUACACGGGCACAGACAUGGGCUAGAACACGACCAUGUGUCCCUAUUUUGAAUGCCUAUGUAGCCUGAGACACGUGUGUGUGUCUCAGCCAUGUGAAUCACACUGCCGUGUGACCCCUGCAGUUUAAAAUUUUCAUCUUUUCUUGAAAAAUUCUAAAUAUUUUUGAUUUAGUCCUGAUUUGUUUCUGAUGUGUUUUUAGGGCCUCGAGGGCUUGUAUAUGAAACAAUAUGUAUGUUAUUGAUGGAAUUUGCUAUGAUUUAUGUUGUGAAGUAAAUUAUUUAUAUUUUUGAUAGUUUUGAAAUGUUAUGAUUAUUUUUUAUCUAUUAAUUAAUUGUUUGCAAUUUUCUUUAAAAGUAUGUCAGGCUUUUCACAAUCAAUUGUAACUUCUUCCCAGAGUUCUAAAGGAGCCAAAAGGAAAUAUGUUCUAGAAGACGAUGCUACGUUGAUUUCAUGUAUGGUAGACUUGCGCAAUCUUGGAACUUUUAAUGCAGAUACGAGAUUCAAGGCUGGUUAUUUACUUGAAUUGGAAAGAAUGAUGGAAAAUUUUUUACCUCAUGCAAUGCUAAAGGCUAAACCUAAUCUUGAAUCAAGGAUUAGGACAUUGAAAAAGGAUUGGGAAAUCAUUUUACGAUAUGCUCAGAGGAAAAGACAAUAGUGGCUUUGGUUGGGACUAGCAUAAGUAGAUGGUUGUUAGUGAAGAUGCAGUAUGGGACUCACAUAUAAGUGUAAGAAUUUUAUUUUUUUAUAUUUCUUUUCUUGUUUUGAAUUACUUAUAUCCAUAUAGUAUAUAAUGCUUAUAAAAUCUUUUUUAUAAAGUCAUAAAGAAGUCGGGCAAUUGAGAACUUGAAGUUUCCCUUAUUAUGAGCAACUUACUUCCAUAUACGCAAAAGAUCGAGCCACAGGGAAAGAUGCUCAAACAACUACUGAUAUUGUUGAAGAAUUACAUGUUGAGGAUGUUGCUAAUUGAAGGAAUCCUGAAGAAAGAAGCAAUGAUAAUGGAUGCAAAGUUGAUGUUUCCUUAGAUGAGAUGGAUGUCUUGGCUACACAAAUGCAACCGUUUAAUCCAAACAAAGCUGAUUCUAAAUUUUCAAAAAAGAAGAAAAAGAGUUCUGAGGUAAGUGAACUAAUUUCUUCUACUUCACUUAUCGAUGUUGCCACGUUAUUGGGGGAUAAUAUUAGGACAAUUAGCCUUGAAUUAAGUAGGAGUAUUGCCUCCGAAAUGCUCAUUCAAAAGAAUUCAGAAAUGGUGAUUCAAAAAAAGGCACAAACUCUCUAUGUGUCUUUAGGUGGAAUAGAAGGUUUAACAUAUGUUGAACGAGAUAUUAUAUUGAUCAAAACUCCUUAUCAUUCAACGCAACUGCUCGUUUUCCUAAGUCUACUACCUUCUAAACGAUUAGCAUGGGUUAGAAAAUUUAUUUCUACCCAUUAAAGAUGUGGUUGUGGUGGUGGAUGAAUAUAACUUUUUGUAUGCCAUAGAGGGUUGUCAUUUUUUCAAUUUGUAAACGAGUGCGGUGGUGAACUUGUAACAACUCCUUUUUUAGUUAUAUCGAAAACAGUAGUUUCGGGACCACAAAUCUAAUAAGCGAGUUUGUAAAUAUUAUUAUUUAAUAUUUACCAGUCAAAUAUAGUGUUAUAAUAAAAUUUGAUUUAAUGAUUUAUGUUAAAUGAAAGAAUAAUUAGGUUCAAGUGGUAUGUCCCUUAAGUCAAGUUGUUUUAGAAAAUGAGAUAUCGGGAUCUCGUUUCUAUAAACCGAGCCAUAAAUAUUUUAUUAAAUAUUUACGGAGUGUUAUUAGGGUUAUAUUAAAAUUUGGUUAAAAAAUUUUAACGUUUAAAUAAUUAAUUAAUUAAAAAGGACUAAAUUGUAAAAGGUGCAAAUGUUAGCUUCUAUUAGUUAAAUGGACUAAAUAGCUUUAAAAAGGUAAAUUCAUGGACUUGGAUGGUAAUUAUUCCAUAUUUAAAGUUAGUGGAUGAUAUUGGAUUGAUUUUGGUGUAAUUUAAUAGUUUUUAAAAGGUUAAUUUAGUAAAUGAAUAAUUAAACUAAAAUAUUAAAUAAAACAAAAGGUGAAUUUUUGUCAUCUUCUCUAAUUAGCCUAGCAAAACUGAUUCCUCCAUGGUUGUGGAGAAAAACAUUUGGCUAAGCUUUUCUUUGAGUGCAUGGUAAGAUUUUAAACCCCGUUUUUAAUGAUUUUUAUAUUUUUGAGCUUGUUUUAGCUUAACCUAAUUAGCCCGAGGGUUAAUUUGUAAAAAUUUUAAAUGUUGAGGGAUAUGCCAUGAAUGAAAUGGAUGUGUUUGUGAAGUUAAUUGAUAGAUAAUUAAAGUUAGUUGUUGAAUGAACAUAUUUUGUUAAAUUAUUUUUAGUAAUUUUAAUGUUUAGGGAUUAAAUUGUUUAAAUAGUAAAAUCCAUUGAGAAUAGUGUGAAAUGAUAAGAAAUAUGGGUUGUAAUGAACCCCUAGGAAAAUCGGCUAAUAUGGUUUUUCAUUAAUUGUAGUUAGUUUGUGAGUUUUGGGAUUAAUGACUAAAUUGCAAAAAGAUAAAAUUUGAGGGAAAUUUUGGAAGUUUUUUAAAUUUUCAUUGCAGAUUAGUCGUUGGAUCACGUUAGGGCAUCGUUUUGGUACAGGUAAGUUCGUAUAGAGAUUAAAUUUUUCAUUUGAUGUUUUAGAGGAAUUACUGUGUACAAUUAUGUGAAUUAUAAUCUUGAUUUGAUAAUUGAUAUUAUGCAUAUUGUUGGAAGGUUAGCUGACUUAAAGUUGUAAUUUAUAAAUGUGAAAUUCAUGAUGGUAUACAGAAAUGUUAUAAUACGAUUGAAAUAAAUGAUUUGAGAUGUAAAAAUCCGUUCAAACCUUUUGAAUACUUAGGAUACAAAUGACAUGUCAUUAGGGUUAUACGGUUUCAGGUGCUGGUCUUGAAUGUCAUACCGAUAGCUGAGGCCCUACAUUUGUUGCGGACACUCCAUAGCUCAUGUGAGCGGCACCGUGUAGCUAACAUUCUGACCCACAACUCGUGUGAGCAGACCCAUUUCAUAGCUCGUGUGAGCACUAAUGGAAAGGAAAGGUUACGGUUACAUGAAAAUGCAAACUAUGUGUGAGCAUUCCCGAGUAUCUAAUGCUAUUCUAUACGGUUCAACGGGUAAGUAAAGGUUAAUGGAAUGACAUGUAUAAAAAUUUAAUGUUACUAAUAUUCAUAUGACAAGGAAAGAUGAACAUGCUUAUACAAUAUGAAAAUGGAUGAUAAUUUAUUGAGUGAUGGAUAAAAUAUGCAUGAAAUCUAUUUCUUAAUAUAUGUCAUGUUUUAUAGAUGUAUUAUUUACUUACCAUCUAUUAACCAUAUGAUUUCAAUGGAAAGUAUGUGUAAAGGAUUUAUGUAUAGGUGAUGGAUUAUGGAUGAAGCCUAAAUGUUUAUCAUGUACAUGCCAUGAGAUACUUGGGAUUUAUAUGUAAUGAUAUAUUUACUAACCUUACGAGGUGAUAUGUAUAGGAAAGGAAGUUUGGCAUAUGACUUGAUGAGAGUAGGUUUGGUUGUUUAAUUUAAUUGGCAAGUUAAGUUUCUCUUAUACGAAUUUAAUUAGCAUUAAAUGCUUACAAAAUCGUUUCCUCUGUCUUGUAGAUUAUCGAGAAGCUUAGUCGGUUGGAGUCUCGUCGGAGUAUCGUCACACUAUCUAUUCGACCUACUGGUAUUUAUGGUUAUUUUGGAUAAUGGUUAUGAAUGGCAUGUAAUAGGGCUGAAAGGUUAUUCAAGUGAAAUUACUUGUCUUAAGUUGUGUCAAGCUUGUUGUGGUUAAUAAGGUAAAUGUUGGCAUGAAUAAUAGUUGCAAAUAUGGGUGAAUAAGCCCUCAUGCAUACUCCAUAGGUUCUAGAUAGUAUAUGAUAUGAUGACAUGUUUUGGAAUGGUUAAUUUGGCCGUGUGUCAUUUGAGAAUUUCUUAAUGUUUCAAGUCAAUGAGUUACACGGCCUGACACAUGGGCGUGUGAGGCAACUCAGUGAGUUACACGGGCUGGGACAUGGCAGUGUGUCCCUUGUUCGAAUGUUACACGACCUAGGGUAAUUUCACAUGGCUUGGCCACUCAGUCGUGUGACACCUGUUUUCCAAUUUUUGCAUCUUUUUCUUAAAACUUCUAUUUUAUUUCAAAUUAGUUUCGAAUUGCCUCAAAACUAUUUUAAGGGAUGUUUGGUUGAAGGUGAUGACUAUGCCAUUACCUGCCUAUUACAAGCCUAUUCUACAGGCUCACUUAAACAAAUAUUUGGUUCAAGGGAAUACCCUAUUACGGGUGUAUUCUAUUUCAGGCUUAAGCAGAGAUAUUUGGUGAUUUCUAUUCCCUUCCCUCUUCACCGUUUACCCAUUCGUUGCCAUAUGAACCCUAUUUUACCCUCACAAAUUCUCACCUCAAAAACAUUCAAAUGGUAGCCAUUUCUUGCUGGAAUCAAGUUGUCCUUCAACCCCUCGCUGGAACCUUGACAGACCUUUCCUCACCGACCGAUUUCACCAGGUUCUUCGGUUUCCUUCUCACUUUCUUGAGAAUCAAUCGGAAAGAGAAACUUCAUUUCCAAAGUUUCGUGCAUUUUUCAAAACUUGGGUGUUCUACUUUCCCUUUCGCAUUUCACAAUAGAGAUUAGAAUAAAAAAAAACACAUUUCCAAAAUCUAACAAUUCUUUUGGUUCUCGUCUCGUAUAUUUUAUAUUAAUUAAAUUCUUAUUACUUGUUAAUGGUAGAUAAAUGCUUCUUCUAGGAAAUAAAGGGGACAUCUCGUUUUGCAUCGAUGCUAAGGGUUGUCCUUUAGAUUCGUUCAAGUAUUUAAUUUUUUCUUUUCAUUUUUAUGACUUUCCUUAGCUUAGUUUUAUGUCUAAGUUUAAUCUUUUUUCUUUUGUCUCUAAUCAGCUCUGGAUUGGAAAAUCCAAUUGGUUGUUAUGAUGCCGCGGUUCAUGUAUUCUUCCCUUGAAGUUAAAUAAUGUAGUUCCUGCUCAAUUAUUGUUUUAAAAGAAAAAGUAUUAUGUUAAAAAUAUUGGAUCCUUUGUUUAUUUGUUAUAUUUUUAAUUGGUUAAUAAUUAAACUGAACUUGCAAUUUUAAUUGCAAAAAAUAAUUUUUUUUUCUGAUGUACAAUUAUUCUCAUUAUUAUUAGACUAAGCUAUGCUUUUGUUGUACUAAUUUAAUACAGUACUGAGUUUGCAAUGAAAGAUGUACAAUGUAUUCUUUGAAUUUUUGUGAUGAACUCCGCUCUACUGAGAAAAUAAAAGGUUUUUGUGCAGUUAAUACUGGUAUGUUUGACUUUUAUUAGAACUCAAAGUUGUAGUUUCAUUUCUGAAAAUUUACACAACCUAAACAACGGAAGUAUCCAAUUUUCUGUUACUUUAUCUUAUAUUUCUAGCUGUUGGAUUUUAAUUUUUGGUACUUACCGCUAAUGUGUUGAACUGUAGUCUUUAAUUUAGUGCCUCUCUCUUGUUCUGCCACUUUCAUACAAGUUGAUCAUUUACCUAAACUUUUUUUUAUUUCUAGUUUGCAUGGGGUUGGGUGAAAAUUAUUAACUCUAAGAGAUUUUGGGGAAAAAAUGCAACAUGUCUACUGAUUUUCCUUUUGAUUUAUGCAUAAAAUAGUUAUAAGAACAGGCUCGUAUCUACGUACCGAGGCAUUUUCUUCUGUUUAAUUGGUUGUAACCUGUGAAUAUCUCACAAAUAGUGUUGGUUUUAAUUGGUUAAUUUUUUUUUGUAGGAACUUAUUUUCAUUGAUGAUCUUCUGUUCUCUUGGUUGGAAUUGAAGGACGAUACAUUUCAAUCAAAAGAGUGCAUGGAAAGGCUGAUGUUGCUAGUUUCCAAGUUGAUGCAUCUAUGGAUUUAGUACUUCAGGUUAGAAAUUUUCUUCUAUUGGCACAAACAAGUGUUCAGCUAUCCUUUGUGGUUGAAUUGCUUUUACUCUAUAAUUUUACCGUUAUGGUGAUUGAAAAAACUUGAUGCACUUCCGUGUUACUAUAAAUACCUUUUUGGUAUUCUACAUUAACCAUUAAAGGGACAUGCAGUUUAACUUUGGAUUCAAUUCCUUAAAGUAAAGGACUUCUACUAGCAGACUGCUUGAGCAUGGUUUCUUUUGGGACUCUUGAAGCACACAUGCUUUCGUGUGUUCAACUAUCCUUUUGGGACUUUGAGUCUGUCAUAGCAUUUCAAUGUUGUAUUCAUAGGAUGCCACUGUUUGUACCACUUUUAUAAUUAUGACUUGGGAUUUAAUUUAUUAGCGUUAUUCCAGGUUAUCUCAAUGUCUAAAAGUGUUGAAAUAAAAUAAAAGUUUACAUCUAUGCUUUUGUGUGUUCAUGACAGACGGCAAGAUUAAUCAUCCUAUUCAAUUUUAGUAUAUGGUUCAUAUUGUGUUCCCAUAUUCAAUAAAAUGGUGCUUCUAGUAUAGACCAGCCUCUGUAGUAACAUUCCAUGCAUUGAAGAUGAUAUAUAGAUUACUUUGUUAUGGUAUAUCUUAUAAAUAUUAAGCAUCCUCUUUCUUAAAAACUUUCUAAAAACUUGCUAUGGUAUAUCUUAUAAAUAUUCUAUGCAUUGAAGAUGAUAUAUAGAUUACUUUGUAGGCGGUAACAUUGAUCUCAUGGUCCACUGUAGUAACAUUUGUAGUUUAGAAGUUUGAUAAAAAGAAAGAAUGCUACAUGAAAACCUUCUUUCUGCUCCCUAGAAUGUGAUGACGACUUGUUUAUAUGUCUGUAACUAACAGCACUUACUUGGUGUUUACAAUAUCCUACUUCAUUUGUCAAUGCUUGUUUUAUGUAUUUCAUUAAUGCUUCUUCUGGACAAGUUCCAAGUGUGAAUCUUUUACAGGAAGAGGAGCAGCAGUUCUUAUUUUUCUUAUUUUUGCAAAUAAGCAGAUUGGUAACUUUCAUGUCUCACAUGUAAUUCAUGUUAUCCUUGAAUAUACUUGGCAAAAUUGCCUUGUAGCCUAUGCUAUGAUGAGAUUCAUUGCACGUAUUUAUAAGUAAGAACUUCAAAGUGAUUUAUGCCCAUGUUCUAUGCAUCUUUCAACAAUAGAAACUAAUUUUAAAGUAAAUCUAUCCACUCCUUGAACAAAUCAUCUUUUAAGUGGUAGAAUGUUGAGUCAUUUGUUUAUGCACAUCGAUUCGUUCAUCAUCAAAGUAAGGGAUCUGUGAACCUAUUUGAUCAUCCUCUAUAACUCCUAAAAGAAAUUAAUUUAGUGGUCAUCAUUGUAG